rnacentral:lncRNA from 1 species
AAGCUCCCAAAUGUCUGUUCUUUUAACAUUUUCUAAGUGCAAGAGCUGCCGAUAACGCGAAGGUAUUUCAUCUUCAUCGAAUUGUUCUCUAAUGAGUUGAAUUAAAACUCGAGCCAUGUCAGCUUCAUAGUUUCCCAGCAGAGUAGUGGCUAUAAUUUCGGACUCCGUAAGAAGGUUUUGAAAAAGUGGAGUUAAAUUUGUUGAAUCAGGCAAAGUUAACGUGCCUUCUUCACCUGCUAACACCAGUUUCAACCUCUCACAAAAUAGUGUGAGGUUAAUUUCCAUAUCUUUCCCUCUCUCAGUAGUACUCAGAGGUACGUAUUGUUAUUUGUUAGUGUUGAUGACGAAAGCUGAAUAAUCAAAACAACAGUGUACACAAUCAACAGAAGGCGAAGUAUGUUAAGUUGAGAUCAAAGGAUAUAAAUGAAGGAAAAGUUUAAGUACUCCGUUGAAAGCCAAAGUUGCUUUGGCCAAUUAAUUUAUAAGUGAAGGAAAGAAUAAAGUUAGUCCUCGAUGUCUUUUGAAAUUAGAAAUACAUUUUGAAUGCUUUAAUAGAUGCAGAGCAAGCUGGCUCGAUGUCUAACUAUUUUAAGAGCUAAAAUCAUUUAUUAGAAGUUGUGGCAUUGAAAAAAACUGGCUUGAUAUCCAAUUUUGUUAUUUAAUGUCUCACGUGAGAGUAAAUAACUGUUGUGUUACUGGCAGAUGAUUGAGACGGACAAGUUUGGAACAUUGUUCGAGACUGAAACUACACAUCAGUCUUAGAAAAUUGUAAUUUUGUUGAAAAAUUAUAGAUUGAAAAAUUAUUGAGACGGACAAGUUUGGACCAUUGUUCGAGACUGAAACUACACAUCAGUCUUAUAAAAUUGUAAUUUUGUUGACUUAUCAUGAUUUUGAUUGCCUCCCAUUGAUUUUCCUAUGAUGUCUCUGUAGAGUGGCUAUGCUUACAUUUUUAGGUAUUUAAUUCUAAAAAUUAACUUAUUAGAUGGAAGGAUCAAUUCUACCUGUAAAUCUAAGUGGCUUCCCUUUACUAACUCAUAUAAGACACAACAAUAAUUUUCUUCGAAAAAAACCACCAUCGGAGGGCUAUUUUCGUUCAACAUACAUGAGUUGUUCCGCCACCAUAUUUUGAGGGUUUGCUUCUAAUACAACUUGGGGAAGCUAGGGGUAAGAUUUCCAAGUAUCAACAUAAAAACCUUGCCGAUUGGAUAGAAGGACCAAUCUUACUUAUAAGUCUAAAUGACUAAUUUUUGAGGACACAACUCAACAGACCAAUAUAAACUUUUGGCGUCCCAUUUUAUUACUUUUCAGUGCUUUACUUUUGCUGUCUAUAGCCCUACUAUUCUAUUAAGCAGAAAAUAUUAUCUAUUUUCUUUCCAUUUUAUGUAUACCCCGAUCUUUACCUCUGAUUGGUUGUAGAUUCUUCUGUCGCUUUGGGGUUAGGGGAUGGUUUUCAUCAAGAAAUGAUAAAGGAUUGUUAGUUGUGUGACAAACAGCAUUAAUAUGAAGGAUGAUGAUUGUUCUUUUCAAGAGUUUAUAAUGACAUAAUUCUGCUUUGGUCUUUUAAAAAAAAGUAAUUUAGAAAUGAGGAGUAUGUGAGUGAUGAUUUUUACAAAUAAAUUGCAUGCGUAGUGAUGAUUUUGACACAUGAAAAUGUAAAAAGAAAUAUAACUUGUGAAUAAUAAUCGAAGUACCCUGCUAUUGUUAUAUUGAGUAAUCAAGGACUUCGAUAUUCGGACGAUACAAGCAACACAAUCAAAUAUUAGUUGGAAGGCAUAGCAAAAUUAGAAUGUAGAACAAACUGGGUAUUGAUAAAUGGAUGGUUUUGGAAGAAUUGAAAAUGAUGGCAAAAAAAAAACAAAGUUAAGAGAAAAGAGAAAGAGCAUUUGAACUUUACUUGUAAGUAAAGGCAAAUAUCUUGGUUCAAGAAAAGAUAAGAGAUAUCAAACUAGCAAUAGGAAAAAGGAGGAAGGUUAAGACAGCAUCUUAACAAAAGCUAAAGAAAAGAAAAACUUAGUUCAAGCAAAGAACAAUGUGCUAAUGUAGUGUAAUCUUGUUUAAUUUCUUUUUCUUCUCACAUUUUCCAGGGCUUAAAUAAUACAAUGUACAUUUUCAAGCAAAGAACAACAAAUAAAUAAUACAAUAUACAUACCCAGUAAAUUAAAAAAAAUAUAUUAUUCAAGUUUGUGGACAAUACUGUAGCCAUUGCGUCGUCGAAAUCUACUGACAGCUGAAACAAAGAAAGAAUGGAUGAACGCUGGAUCACAGUUGAAAUUGAAGGUCUGGUAGGUGAUGUUUCCCUCUCUGAUUUUACCUAAACAAAUACAAGAAAAUAAGAAUCACGAAUGAAAAUCUGUUAUUACACUGUUCUUACUUAUUAAAAUACAGAGGUUUCUUUGUUUCUCUGCAGCAAUGUCCAUGGCUAUUAGAAACAAGAACAAUUAGACCAGCAUUUGCAAGAAUCUUUUAAGGUAUUACUGCAGAUAUAAAUCGACUGAGGAAAUGGAAAAAUUGAAUACCAAAUUAGGCAAGUUAACUGAAGAUUCAGUUAUCAUAGAAGAAUAAAACUCAUCCAAUUCAAUCCAUCAAAUUUCAUUAAGCAUUUCCAGAACUCUUGAUUUUCUUUCUCAGUAGCCAAACAACUUCAAUCUCAUUUUUUUUUUUCAACAAUGAGUUCUCAAACCACUCUGGUAUCAUUUUAAGACAUUCUCGGCCUUGUACUCACCAUCAAAAUGGAUUGGUUGAGAGAAAACAUAGGCAUAUUGUUGAAUUAGGUUUGACUCUGUUGGCUCAAGCUCAACUUCCUUUUAAAUUCUGGUGGGAUGCAUUCCAUACUGCCCUAUAUCACAUCAAUAGAUUACCAUCUUCUGCUUUCAAACUUUCGACCCCAUGUGAGAAGAUAUCCAAGCACAAACCUGAUUAUGAUUUUCUCAAAUGUUUUGGUUGUAUUUGUUAUCCUUACUUGAGAGACUAUAACAAACAUAAGUUUGCCUAUCAUUCCAGUAAGUGUAUAUUCAUUGGUUAUAGUCCUUCACAAAAGGAUUAUAAAUGCUUACAUUCUUCAGGUCAAGUCUAUGUGGCAUGACAUGGUAUCUUUGAUGAGUCAACCUUUCCUUAUGCUACUGAAUCUGUUUUUCAUAGUCACACAAAUUCUGAUUCUCAUUCUUCAAAUUUAUUUACUCCACAGCAUGUCUAUUAUCUUUCUACUUUACCUGUCAUACCAGUAUUUCUAAAUAACAACACUGAUAAUCUAAACUCUACAAAACUAAAAUGCCAGCUGUUUGGUGUUAGCGAUAAGAAACAACUUACCACAACCAUUAAUUAUCCAUAAUUUCAUUGUUUAUCCUCAGUUUUCUUCAUAAAUGUUACAGCGUUCUUCACAACAAAGUGCAAGGGCAUCUCAAAAGUUCUGAAAUAAUACCUCAAUUCUAUUGCAAAAAUAAAUAAUCUCAAACAAGAACCAAUAAUCAUAUUUCGUUACUGUCAAACACAAUGCAUCUGAGCAAAACAUUGGAAGCCAACACCAGAAUACAUAUGAAUAAACAAUUAAAGAUAGAGAAAAAAGGCUUAAACCUUGGGGGAAAAAAGUGAAAAAACAUGAAAGACAAAUUACACAUGUGCAGUAACCAUCGAACUUAUCAGUGACAGCUGCAUCCAUUACAUUGCUCCAACAACACAAUGGCAAACCACCAGUUUCAAAUUGAGGAUAGCUAUUGAGAAUGAGAAAGUGUCCAAAACGCCAUAAAUAGACAUGUUCCUAUUAUGCAUAAUUUACAUUAUAGGCAAAUAUUCUUAUACCAUCAAAAGCAAAACAUGACACUAUAACAAUUGACUCCCCCCCCCCCCCCCCCCCCCCCGCACACAAAAAAAAAGGAAGAAACAAUACCGAAAAGAUUGAAACAGGUAAGGCUACACUGAGCACAGGAUGCCAUGAAACAUAAUCCAGGAACCAAAUUAAUAAAGAAGGAAGGCAAACCAUUAUUUAACAAUCUGUUUUGUAUUAGGGAAAGUCCGAUAAAAUCUACUUAGGGAUAAUUAGAGAACCUCAACUAUUAAUCACACCUCAUAAAUGAACUAACAUUAACCAUGUACCAUCCCCACAUCAGACAAACAUUCUCUAUACUUCUGAACCUAAUACUUCCAUCUUCAAUUGGGGUUUUUUUCUUUUGUGGGGGGGGGGAUAAGCUAUCGUUUUUCUAAGCUUGCUUACCUUCUGUGUGGGACUGAAAUACUGAUUUCGAAUCAUUAACAGUAAAAUUGGAAGCUCAUGAAAAAACAAUUUUAUCUUUUAACAAAAGUUAAAAUUACAUCUCCAUAUAAAUUCUCUUUUCAUUUCCUUCAAUUUUCUAAUUAAGCUUAAAAAAAUGUACCUUCAACCACAAAGGGGUUUAAAAUUUAAAAUAUAUAAAAAAAUAAAUUCAGAUAACAAUAAUUAAUUUAAUUAAAAAUAUAAAUAGAGAUUACAGAGAAAGAAAAAAUAGAGAAAGACCUGAUGUUGAGAGCAUCGACGGCCGGCAGUGACCGGCGGAAGAUGGCGAGAGAUGGCGGCGUGGGCCAUUGCUUGCGCAUCAGUGAGUGUCUCGAGUGAGAGAGUGAAGGUAGGGAUGGCAAUGGGGAGGGAGGGAGGGUCCAAUCUCUCUGUACCCAUCUCCCAAUUUGUCCCCGUCCCUCCCCGUCCCCAUUUGCUUAGAAUCUGUCCCCUACUCGAAUAAUAAUUCUCGAAUAAUAACAUAAAAUGCUCGAGGUUCUCGAUUUAUGAAUAAUUAAUAUAUUUUUUAUUUUAAAUUUUAAAUUAACUAUAUUAAAAUAAAAAAUUUAAAUAAAAAUAAAAUUUGAAAUAUAUUUUAUAUUAAUAUUGAUCCAUUAUAAAAAUUACAUACAAAAUAUAAAUUAUCAAAAUAAUUAUCUUUAUCAAUCUUCAUAAUCCUACAAUAAAAAGAAAAAAAAUUUACUUUUAUAUUGAUAAUAAAAUAAAUGUAGAUAAUUAAUUAAUAUUUUUAAUAAAAUAAAAUUAAAAUAAAAUAAAAUUUUUAGGCUAAUAUAAUCUACCCGACUUUUUUAAUGUGUUAAAUAAAAAUUUAAGACUUUAAUUAGUUAAUUAGGCCUAAAAGCUUAAUAAUAUAAAUAUUUUGAUAUUUAUUAUUUUUACUAAUAUUUAUAAUUUUAUAAUAUAUUCAAUUUUUAUUAUUUAUUUACUAGUAAUUUUAAAAAAUAAAAAUAAAAUUAAAAAAUAAAAUGGGGGAAAUGGGGAGGGGAUGGGGAUUCCACCUCAUCCCCGUCCCUUCCUUGUAGGGAUGGCAAAAGUUCGGGUCGGGUCGGGUCUGGGGCUGCCUGGAACUGACCCGGAUUUCACACAUAGCUGCCCGGACCCGGACCGUGCCCGGAUUUUUUCUAUGCGGGCCGGGUAUAUGGCUGGCACUAUCCGGGCACAGGUUUUUUUUGGGUUUUCUCUACCCACAUUUUCAAAACUGGCUAAAAAAAAAUUGAUAGAAAAGGCUAAAUAAGUAAACAAAAUUGCAAUUGGGCCUGGAAAUUCAUAACUUAUCCCUGAAUUAUAUAUAUAUAUAUAUAACUUCUAAUUCUUUGUUGAUACAAGUUUUUUCUAAUUCAUUAUAAAAUCACAUUAUAUAUAUUAUUUCCUCAUCAGAUAAUAAGUGACAAUUGCUCACCAGUUUAUUAACAUCUCUACGAAACCGUCUUUUAUGGCAUUAUUAUUAUUAUUGUUGUGGCUGAAACCAUGUAGUAUGUGAUUGAAGAAAUUGCAUUAAAUGUUGGAGUGGAGGUGAUGUAGGUGAGAAAGGAUUCCCUGGAGACUGUUAAACAAGACACAAGGCAUUUCCGGAAGAAAACAGAAGACAACUGGAUAAGACAAAACGGACAAAAGGGUAAGAGAGGUGGGUGGGAAAUUAAGAUAGGCAAUUUGUCCAGCAGAAACAUAAUAAUACCUCGUGGUCGUGGGUCGUGGCUGUGUUGGUGAAGUUGCAGCUGAACAAGAACAGUUGAUGCUGUCGCGUGGUGGCUGCCGUUGAGAAGAUGACCAAACGAUGAAGAGCUCUGUGACGGGAUGGUUGUGCUUUGCGAGGAGAAAUAGAGUUGACUGAGGAAGGUAAGAGGUUCGUGGAGGGAAAGGUGCGGACAACACUGCAUCAGUGCCGGUGGGUGGUGGAGAGACGGAGAGAGGUGCCGCCGAUUUGGAGAUUUCAGGGUGGGUGCUGACUGCUGCAGUGCUGCGUUGUUCUGCAAGUUGCAAUCGCGAUUUAGGGUUCAGUACCAGUUUUGGGGGCAAUUGGGCAAAGUAAAUUUUAUUUUCGCUUUUAUAUUUUCUUUUUUUUUACUUAAUAAAAAACCGGGCAUUGAAAAUCAAUGUCCGGAUCCGCUUUUUCCAUUCAUGUGGUCCGGGUAAAACCCGAACCGCACACGCCGGGUCUGGGCCGGAUCCGGUCCGGGUGGGUUUUUCUGCCACCUCUACUUCCUCGAAUAAGAAAUUUGGUAAAAAAAAUUUCCCGUCCCUUCCUCGAAUAAAAAAUCGGGUAUAAAAUUAUCUCUGUAUCCUCCCCGAAUGAGAAAAAUCCCCGAAGAUACCCAUACCUGUGGGGAUUUUUACCAUCCUUGAGUGAAGGGUUUUGUUUAGGGUUUUGGGAAAUGAAAAAUGUAAAUGUUUGAUUUUGUUGCUAGAAACUUCUUCUGCCGCUGCUUUUUAUUUUCGCUAUAAAAAUAAUAAUUUGUUAAUCAAAUAUUUUCUUAAAAAAGAUAAAUUUCUAGAACAAAAUUUAUAUUAAAUCAAAUUGUAAAAAUGUGGAAUAGGGCUAAUUUCUCCUUAAUAUUAUUAUUAGUAGAAGUAGAUUGUCGAACUAGUCUUGAUAUAUUUUAGAGUUGUAUUAUAGAUGUAUACGUAUCUAGAUUGUAAUUAUAUUUUAAAAAAUAUAAUUUUUUUUAAUUAUUGCACAAUAAAUGUAGAAAAUAUCUAUAAAAUAAUAUUAUUAGAACUAUGAUACAGCACCUCAAUUCCACAGUAGCUUAAUAUUAUUAGAACUAUGAUACAGCACCUCAAUUCCAAACGCACUCUAAUUAAAAAAUUUAGAAUUCUUGGGCAUGGAAAGAGUAGUAUUAAACAUCAGAAAGCUAAGGUUGUUCUGUAAAAGAACUGAUAUUGACAUUAUUUUAUUUUGGUUUUCGGGGAAAAAAAUAUUUGUUGACAAGCAAGAAAAUAUUUUUAUAUUUUACAAUUUAUUAUACAUAUUUUAUCAUAUUAAAGUAAUUUUAAUAAUAAAUAGAAACAUAAUAUUACAAUAAAUAAAUUAAAGUUUAAAUUAUUUUGAAUAUUAUAAAAAAUAAUUUUAAUAUUAUUAAUAGGAAGACUUUUGUUAAUUGUAAAAUCUUUUUAAUCCAAAGAUUUGUUUAAAAUUCUUAUAAUAAAUACAAAUAUAAAAUUAAAUAUCAAAAUUUAAAUUUUUUAAUAUUAUUUAAAUUUUAAAAAUACUUUAAUGUUAUUAGUCUUCUACAUAAAUUAUAUUAUUUAUAUUAUAUUUGUAUUGAUUAAAAUCUUUUAAAGUCGAUCUUCUAGUUAUUAUAUGCAAAAGGUAUUAUCAUGUUACAAUUUUUUGAAAUUUUAGGGAUGUAGGUUACGAUGAUUUAUUUCACUUUUGACAAAAUCCAAUGAGAAAUAUGAUAAGAGAAAGUCAAUUUAAUGUUCUCGACCUUUAUGAAAAAAAGUAAAAACUAAGAAUUAUUCAAUUUUAUAUUUUUUGCAUCCACCAAAUAAGUUUUGCACAUUUAUGUUAUCAUAAAACGAAAAAAAGGGUUUACCAAAAAAUGGUACCAAGCAUACCUUUAAUGUCCCACGUGAUUUCUUAUUAAGCCCAAUAUUAGAUAUAUUUAUACAUUUUACUGCAUUAAGUAUUUUAAUUAUAAAAGAAGUUGGUCCUUCCUCUAGUUACAAAAGAUAACUUUAUUUCAAGACUACCACUAAAUUCUUACGUAGAAUUAGUGCAAGGCCAAGAGAGAGUAACACAAUUUUACUUUUCCAUUACCAUUUUGAAAAUAGAAAGAUAUGGAUCCGUGUAUUUAAGAGUUAUUGUAAAAAUCAUACAAUUCAAUUUCCUGACGUGUAUUAUGUAUAUUUAGGCACAUUUGCCAAAAGCAUAAAUAGAUAGAAAGUAAAUUUACAAUCCACCCUUACUCACAAUUAUUGAAGUGAAGAUGCAUUACAACUGUCACUACUUUAACUUUAUUUAUUUAUUUGUUUUAAAUAAAAGUGUGAGAGAGACGGUGAACAUCAUGGACGAUAACAAAGGUUAAAGCCUAAAGGUGACCCAUUUUCUUUUUAAAGUGCUCUGCUGAAAGCCUAACUUCCUUUGGAUCCGCCGAAGUGGCCGAAGUGGUGGGCUGCUGCCCUCACAAGCAUUGUGAGGGCAGCGGUUCUAGCCCCCACAAAAGCAUUGUGGGGGUUAAAUGUUCUUUAUAUUUAAAAAUUUUUCUCCCUUGCGAAAUACAAGUGGAGUAUGGACAUCCCUCUCCUGUGAGGGGUUAUUUGUUUGGGCAUGUACUUCAUAGAAUUUAAUGUAAUAAUGUAAGUCCCAAUAAUGUAUAUCUGAUUGUAAAUAUCAGUAUAAUAUCUCUGCUACAAUAGCAAUUAUUGUAAAUAUUUGUGUAAUACAGUAAUCUGAUGAUUAAUCAGUAUUCAAAAAAAAAAAAACUUCAUUUGGAUCCGCCUAAGUUACUGCUUUGUAAAAUUUUAUAAAGCCCCUUAUACUCUAUAUUAUUUAUAAUUUGUUCAUAAAUAUUAUAAAACUUUCUGCAUUAUAUAAUUUUAUUGAGCCCCUUGUACUAUAUUUUAUUUCAUUGAAACCCUUAAAGUACCAAUUCGCCCUCUAUAAUUUUAAAUUACUAAAAUACCCUCCAUUUAAUUAAAAAUAUAAUGAUUAUUAAAUGAUUAUAAUUAUCUGGAGUACAAAUUCAGUAAUAAACAAUAACUAAAGUAUUAACAAUUUAUUCAUCAAAUAAAAUACUCGAGAUUUCAGCCGACAAAUCCUCUUGUCUAAACUAAAAAACUCAUAUCCCUAAAAUCUAUUUGUGAAAUGUUAGAGAUGAGUGGUGAUUUGUCAACUGGGUAAAUAAAUUUAUGCAUAAUGUUUCCGGUAUUGAUAAAUUACAUAAUAAUUAUUACAAAGAAAUCAUAAAUUGGAAACAUUAAUCAUUUUACAAUAUGUUACAUAAGUAAGAUAAAUCUCAUAGUAAGUUAAGUUAUAACGUAAUAAAUAUUUUCAACAUAUACUUAUUUAAGAAGUCAUUUAACAAUAAUAUUUUUUAUAUUUCAGUUGAUCAUGUCAUAUAGCGUUAUCUAAACUCUUGGCCAUAUUAUUAUUACUCAAUUUUCUCCCAAAAAAAAAAAAAAAAAAACAAAAACAAACAUGAUUAAUGAUUAGAGAAAAGUCAUGCCUUUUAGAAAGAAUACGUAUACAAGCUAUCCAUACUUUAUCUUACCAUGAUGGUGAUUAAAUAUAUUUUUAAAAUAGAUUUAAUGCACAAAUAUGAUGACUUUUGGCAAAAAUUAGUUUCGGAAGAUAUAGUGGUAGAAAAUAGUGAUGAUUAUUGUUUAAAUGUGUAAAUAGUCUAAGCAUAGCCCGUAAUACCAAUAUUCAUUUGCACCUUCAUUUGGAUUAUCAUAUUUUAUGAUGUUCUUUCAUUCAUAACCAUUGUUCAAAAUUUGGAUUUGAUCAUAAAACAAAACUAAAAAAUAUUAGAGAUACUAACAAUUGAGUCCCAUUUUAAGUCCCAAUACAAUGUGUUAUUUCUCAAUGUUGUGUCAUUCAUUAAUUAAGUGAUGAAUUUCAGAAUUAAUAAUUAGUUCAGACUUUAAUUAAGAUUUAAAUGUUAGAAUAUCUAGCAUCAUUCAAUCACAAUAAACAAAAUUCAAAUUGAAACGGCAAUAUUGUAUUUUCUUUAAUUAAUUUUGAUGCUGAAGCAAAUAUUUUGCUUGGGUUUUUCACUUCUUGAUUUUGAUUGGAAAAGUUUCUGAGACGAAGUAUUUUGGAUAAUUUUUUCGGGAUUGAAACCACAACUUGGUAGAGGAAAUUAGUUGGAGUAGUGAUGGCUUUGUCUUCAUUUUUGGUUCCUUUUGUGUCGGCAGCCCCUUACUAUUCUCUUGACCCUGAGUUUGAGAUAGAAAUUUAUCAACCUCCAACCCCACAUCCACAAACAAGUUGAUUGAAACAAUUGCUCUUUUAAUUAAGAGGACCCAAAUGAUUUAGGUUUCAGUUCUUAUCAUUUGUCUAUUAUUUAUUUGAAACAUUUAUUUUGAGCGUUACUGAUCUUAAUUAUCUGUAUUUCUCCAAUUAUUGAAGCAUUUCAAGUGGCCACUUUUUCUCCUUUUUAUAUAUGUUUAUUUUUUGGAGUGAUCAAACGGGGGCAAAAUCAAGUAUUCGCUGGUCUGUAGUUUAGCCAACGAUGGCUGAUCCACACAGUUGAUUAUAUGAUACUAUUAGCUCUCAAAAUCUUUCUUAUUUGAGAAUACAAGUUGCCCAAUAGAGUUGAACUAUGUUACCCAACUCCAUGCUCAUACAUUAAAUGUUUAGGUAGUUUUACAAAAUGAUAGCAGCAUGCCAAAACUUGUUGUUGUCAUUUUCGACAUUUCAAAUUGAAAAAUAUGCAAGCAAUCUUCAGUGAACAUUACGUUUUUAUUGAAUAAUUUAAAUGGCCAGUAAAUCAACAGUCCGUGAGUUUUAAAUCUAUUAUGACUUAAUGUAUCUUUCUGUAUUCGUACACAGGUUAUAUUAUCAUAGUUUAAAAUUUUAAUAUUAUUUUAAAUGUUAAAAAUACUUUAAUGCUAUUAGUCUACUACACAUGUUAUAUUAUUUAUAUUAUAUUUGUAUUAAUUAAAACUUUUAAUGUAAAUUUUCUAAUUACUAUAUUGAAAAGGUAUUAUGGUUAAGAAAAAGUUUUGGCAUUUCUUCUUGAAAAUUUGAGGGUCUGCAUGACAAUUUUUCCAAAUUCUAAGGGUAUAGGUUUGAAAAUUUAAUGUUCUUUAACUUAAUGAAACAAAAGGGGGAAACCAAGAACUAUUCAAUUUUGUAUUUUUUGUUUGUAAUUCAAAAAAUGCAUCCACCAAACCAGUUUUACGCAUUAAUGCUGUCAUAAAACAAAAAACAGUUUGCCAAAAAAUGGUACCAAACAUAUCCUUAAUGUCUCACAUGAUUUCUUAGUAAGCCCAUAUUAGAUAUAUUUAUACAUUUUAGGUAUUUUAGUUAUAAAAGAAGUUGGUCCUCCCCCUAUUUAUAAAAGAUAACUUUGUUUCGAUAUUACCACUAAACUCUUACAUAGAAUUAGUGUAAUGUUAAGAGAGAGUAAAACGGUUUUCCAUUACCAUCUUUGAAAAUAGAAAGAUAUGGAUGCGUGCAUUUAAGAGUCAUCGUGAAAAUCAUACAAUUCAAUUUCCUGACAAGAAGUUGGUCCUCCCCCCCUUUUUUUUUUUUUUUCAAUUACAGUGUGAUGGAGACAUUAAGGAUGAGCAUAAUAGUUAAAGAUGACUCAUUUCUCAUUUUCUUUUUAAAGUGCUCUGCUGAAAGCCAAACUUCCUUUGGCUAAUUAAUUUAGAAGUAAAGCAGAGAAUAAAGUCCUAGAUGCCUUCUGAAAUUAGAAAUACAUUUUAUAUGCUUUAAUUAUGAUUAUUUGGUAGACUAAAGACCUAAAAGAUAUGUCAAAAGUAUAAAACAGAGCGAUUAAAGAAAAAAGAAAAAAAAAACAGAGCAUUUGUGACGUAGAACAAUUGGUAAAUAAAUCCUAAAUAUUUGAGUUGUUAAAAGCAAAUAUAACAGAGACAGUAAGAGAGAUGCUGAAACAGAAAACUAUUAGCUUAUCUUGAUUUUCCCACUAUAUUCAUUUUCGAUGCUUUUCAAACGAGAUUCUUUUAAUUCUUCUGGUGUCUCUUAUAGAUCUCCAUCCCACAUCUGCACUACGAACAAGUUGAUUAAAAUUAAAUACUGUUGGAGAUGUGGGGUGAGCGGUCAACUUGGUAAAAAAACUAUGUGUAAUAUUGUUAAUAAUAUAAAAUAUAUAAUAAUAAUUACAAAGAAUCAUAAAUUAGAAAAAUUAUUUAUUUUACAAUCUAUUUCUUAAGUAAGAUAAAUCUCGUAAUAAGUUAAGUUAUAAUGUAAAAAAUAUUUUCAAUUUAUAAUCAUUUAAGGAGUCAUUUAACAAUAAAAUCUUUCUUUUUUUGAUCAAUUGGUCAUGGUACAGAGCAUCAUCUAUAUUCAUGGUGAUAUUAUUAUUACUCCGUAUUCUCAAAAAACACGAUUUAACAUUUAGAGAAAGUUCCUACCUUUUAAAAAGAACAUGUAUGCAACAACUACCCAUACUUUAUCUUACCACGACAAAACUAAUAGUGACUAAAUCAAUUUUCUCGAAUAAAGCAAAAUUUCUUAAAAUUAAUUUAAUAUACAAAUAUGAUGACUUUUUGCAAAAAUUAGUUUUGGAAAAUUAGUGACAGAAAAUAGUAAUGAUUAUUGUUUAGAUGUGUAAAUAGCCUAAACAUGAUCCCUAAUACCAAUAUCCACGUGCAUCUUAACACCUUUCGUCAUAUUCUUUCAUUCAUGGUCACUGGUUCAAGAUUUGAAUUUGAUCAUUAAAUAUGUUCAAUAAUAUUAGAGAUCCCAACAAUUGAGUACCAACUUAAAUCCCAAUGCUAUGUGUCAUUAACAAAUGUUGUGUCAUUUAUAAUUAUUGAAUGAAUAAUUCGUUAAUUUAUUGAUAAAUGAAAAUUUAUUAAUUUAAAGAGAGAUAUUUUUUUUUUUGGGUUUUAAGAAGAGUUUUGUUGGUACAUGUACAUACUUAUAAAGAAAUAAACUUGUAAUUAUACUAUAUCUUUCUUUCUUUAUUCAGUUUGGUGGGAUAUUGUGAUAAAUCAUUGGAUUAAAAUGCAUUUCUAAAUUAAAACUUGUUAAAAUCUAAUUUAUUUGGGAAGCGCAUAUUAUUUGUCAGUCGUACUUCUCAAGUCUCAACUUAGCAAGUUAUUUCUAACUUGUCAGUCUCUAUUGGUUCUCUAAAGCUAAUAGUCUCGAAUCUCCCGCAUUUGAUAUCUUGCCAUUAUUGUUGGCAUUAACAUGUUACCUGAGAUUGGGAUUCAUUAAAAUCCUCAAUGUAAUCGGUGGAACGAAUGGAUUUCUUCUGUUCACCAAUCCACCAAAAUUUCUGUAAUUAAAUUCAAGAGUCAAGAUCUAUGCUUAUAAUCUAUUCUAACAGCUAAUAUUCUAUUUUAUAUUUACUUAAAUAUGAAGAGCUAUGCUUGUCAUUAACUUCAAAUGUGAUCGAAGCAGCCUUACAUCUGUAUAUUACUUAUUCCCAACCUUUUUUUUUUGACUUCAUAUACUUUAUUUUCAUGUUAUUUACUCUUUUUUUCCCCUUUCUGACAAUUGAGGUAGGGGGUCAAACUUGAAAGUAUCUUAAAAUCAGACAAAUUUUUUUUUUUUUAAGAUAGCUGCUAAUAUGCUCUAUUAGACAAUGACAAGUAAUAACCUAGUUGUUUGCAUUAGAAAUGAUAUUUUUUGUGGUGCUGAUAAAGAGGUUGAUUAUGAUUCAACAAUUUAAAAUAUGAAAACAUGUGGAAGACGGCCGCAAUUAAAUUGAUUGUAUGAAAAUAUUUCAAUGAAAUUUUAAAAAUUUAGUACUUGUUAUCUUAUCGAGAGUUUUUUUAAAUUAUAUUACUACUUGAACUUGGCUGCUUUUGUAUUGAAUUCCCAGCGUUGCCAUUGCUUCUACUCAAAAGCCAUUUAAGUUUGUGUAAGCUACCUAUAGUUUGAACAACAAUUUACUCAUGAAUUGUUGUUCAUAAUAGCAAUUUGAUUGAAAGUGCGGCUGCACUAAUUUUCUAGAUGAAUUUUUUCCUACAUGCUUGUUCUCGUAUGACCCAAAAUCCUGCUACAUCAGUUGUAUUAGAAAUUAAUACUGGGUUACAAUUAUGCAUCCCCACCAAUAUUUCUUGAGGAAAGAAACUCAUAUCGCCCCUAGGCUUUUAAUGAGGCUCAUUUUUAUGAAUCUGGAUGGCAUUAGAUAUCUCUCCGAAUAUUGGUGGGAGUAUAUCGCAGAUCAAUGGGCUAUACUACAAAGUGUAUGUACGUUGACUCUCAAUAAAUACAAACGAUUCUCUGAUAUGAUUCAAAACAUCAGUGCACGCAUCAUUUUAACGAGAGAGAAUAUUCUAAGAACGAAAUUGAAGGUGCAAUCAGCAACUAAAAUGAAGCCAGAAAUGUACACGCAUGAGGAAGUUUUCCUAGAAGAUUGAUAUUUCUUUAACUAGCAAACAAUACAAGUCCAAAGCUAACCAAACCAUACCUGCAAGUCCGGGGCUUAAAUGGAGUACUUGUAAGCAUAAAACAUUAAUCAAAACACAGUAUAGACACACACACACACCCCUACAUACAUACCAGCAAAUUCGAAAUAGAAAAAGGAGUGCAACUAUUCAAGUUUGUUGACAAUAUUGCAACCAUGGCAUAUUAAAGCAAAUCCUUAAAAUCAGCUAAACGAAACAAUGCCCUGUCUCAUGAAUCGAUGCUCAACUAAAAAUUGAAAUUGAAAGUCCGGCUGGUGUUGUUAUUAGAUAGAUAUAACAAGAUCUUUCUUUGACAGUUCUUAUUAGAUAGAUAUAAAAAGAUCUGCUUUGACAGUUCUUAUUAGAUAGAUAUAAAAAGAUCUUUCUUUGUUUCUCUGCUGUAAUUUGUGGCUAUCCCACUCUGUUUUGCCAGUCAAGCUGAGUCUACGUUGAGACAUAAUUUUGACAUCAGAAGCGGCCUCAAUUAGUUUGGCAUUUUUAUAACCUCCUUGAAGGUUUUACGAUAAACAUAAAUCUACUGACAAAGUGGGCAAAAAGAAAAUGCAUGUAAAAGUAUGAGUUAUCAAAUAAGAUUAAAACUCACCCAAUUCAAUCCAUCAGAUUCCGUAAGGAUACAACUGGAUGUCAUACCGCCACUCCAUAUUCUCGAAAGUCCGUAGUCCUUGUCUCAACUGUGUCUGGGGCCAGUGUAAGUCCAUUUUUGCGCAAGCUCUUUAUGCACCACAGCUCUUCUGGAAGCUUUCUCAAGUAAGCACACGGGUUGACAAUUAAGCAUUCAAGUUUCGGCAUUGCUCCAGCCCCCAUCGUCCACUCAUCUAGCCAAUACAUUGACUUCAGGUGCAAAACCUUAAGUUCGGGAAAGCUACUCAAGCCAACACAAGCAAGCUUUCUUCCUAAAUACGAGUUCUGCUUCAGUUUCAGCACUCGAAGGCGUGGAAGAUUUUCCAGAAUUGGCAUGGGAUCCUCCAUUAGCUCAGUAUUUGAUAAGCUCAGUUGGAUCAGACUUGGGGGAAAUUGGUAUUCAGACAGGACCAUCCGUGAGGGCUUGCUCUCAUUCACCAGCUUCAAGCAUUCAAGUUUGUGGAGUUCGCAUAGGCUUUUGGAAACCCCUGAAUGAUAGCAACUCAAAUCUCCAGAUAUCCGAAGAGUUUGAACAUUAGGUAGUCUGCCCAAUAUAUCAGGAGUACAACUACUGGGGUUUAAAGUUGAUAUGAAAAUGAGAUUUUUCAGGGAGCUAGAAUAAUUUUUUGGAGGUGCGGGCAGAGUGAUAGAACCAAAGUUUAGAUGCAUGAGUUUUUGCAUCUUCCAAAUAUCCUCUGGUGACUGAUCUAUGUAGCUAGAUGGCAUUUCUAGUGUUUGAAGGUUUAAAAGGGUGCAUAGCAGUGAAGGAAGGCAUUUGAGCGAAGGGAUAUUCAAUUUCAAAUACUUCAAAAGGAAUAAAUUUUCUAAUCCGGGUGGAUAUUGGUCCAGGACUGCAGAACCCAAGUUCAGUACCCGAAGGUAUUUGAACCUUUUAAAAAAAUUCUCGCAAUCUUUCGGAUUAAGAUGAUAUCUUUUUGGACUGUGAUUGAGAAAAGAUUGGAGAUACAUGUCAGAAUGUUCUAAAGAAAGGAACUCAAUCAAAUCAUCGACAAUGAAGCACCGUUUAACAUUUGCGGGUGGUUCCUCUUCCACGUCAUGCAUCCAGACAAAUCCCGUCUUCUUUGCCACCACAAACAAUGAAGUGUAGUAUACAAUACUUGGAAAAUAACACGAUUUAAUUGUGCCUCCGGCCCUUCUUUUACUCACUUGAAUGAAGCCGCGAUGGAUUAGUUCUUUCAAGUAAUGUUCGGCAGUUUCUUCACUGUUGUAUGGUAUGAAACCUUCAGCUACCCACAAAUGAUAUAAUUGCCUCGUGGAUAUCUCAAUGCCUGGAGGGAAGACACACAAAUAGAUGCAGCAGAUUUUCAAGUGAAAAGGUAACUCCAACACAGAACAAAUUCCAAUGAAAAUUGUCGGAAUCGUUUCGCCUUGAACAUAAUUUUCUAAUGGCAUACUUCCAUAGUGUAGGAUGAAAAAUUGCCAGGCUUCAUGCUUUAAUCUGAUCAAUGGUCCUCCAAUGAGCACCGAAUCAAGCCGAAUCUUCUCUCCAUUUUCCAUUUCAAGCGACGCAAGGAGGUCUGGAUCAGUGACUGUUAUCAAUACUCUGCUUCCAUUCUGAUUAUCAGGAAGAACUUCUUCAAGAUCAUCCCAUAUGUCAAUGUUAUCGCAGACAUCAUCAAGCACAAUAAAGUACUUCUUGUUUGUUAGGUAAUCUCAAAGAAUAGAUUCCUUGAAUUGAUAAUCUUCACCGAUAAUUACACUAACCCGAGAUGGAGGCAUCACAGACUUGAUUAUGUCAUCCAAUAUCUUGCCCAAAUCGUAGAAUACAGAAACCCUGACCCAAGCAAGACAGUCAAAAUAGAACCUGACAUGAUUAUUGUUGUAAGUAUCUGCAGCAAAAGCAGUCCUAUCGAAGCCACUGCUGUCGAGAAUUGCAACCACUGCAAGCCCAGAUGGUCCCUCAAUCAAUAGAUCAAACAACUUCUCUCUGCCCCUUUCAAAUUCACUGAUAUCGAGCCGAGGUUGUCCCUCAUUCAAUAGGCGAAUGAUUUCGUUACUUUUUUCACUGAUAUCAAAACCAUUGUCGCCGGGCGGAAGUUGUUGCAUCCGAUUUCUAAUAUCAAUGAUUUCACUGUGGACAUGAAGAGCCAUAUUAGUGCUGCUUUCACUUUCGUUUUCACUGUUUUGCUGCUGCAUUAUGUUGAUGAAGAAUCUGUCAAUGGCUUCCUCAGAUUCAUGGACAAAGUCAUUGAUGUGCACCAGAAUUUCCAAAAUAUCUGGUCUUUUAACGUCUUCUUCAUCGCUUUCUUCUAAGUCCAACAGUUGCAAAAAAGGAAAAGAUAUUUCGAAGUCAUCGAAUUCUUCUAGAAUGAGUUGAAACAAAUGCCGAGCCAUGUCAGCUUCAUAGUUUCCCAGAAGAGUAGCAGCAAUAAUUUCGGACUCCGUAAGAAGGUUUUGAAAAAGUGGGGUUAAAUUUGUUGAAUCUGGCAGCGGCAACGUGCCUUCUUCACCUGCUAACACCCUUUUCAACCUCUCACAAAUCAGUCGGAGGUGGAAUUCCAGCAUUUCUCCUUCUCUCCGUAGCACUCAAUUAGAAUUAUCUUCGAAUUCUAAUUUAAUUGACUAAGUAGUUAUAGCUAUUCUAUUGAUUAGGUCUAGCUAUUAUAUUCUAAAUGAUUAAUUGAGAGGUAUAGUUGAAAGAUUAAACACCAUGGAAGAAUUUGAAAGGAAAAUGCCAAGAAACUGUGUAAGUGGCUAAAUUCCACAAAUAUGACAUUAUUGCUCAUUUUUUAACUCAAAAAAAGGGUACGCAUUCAUUUAGAGAAAAGUCCAAGACGCGUGCUUUUUAAAAAGAACAGGUAUCCAACCUCUAUCUUAUUAAAUUACAACCAUGACAUAAUUGAUGGUGCUUAAAUCAAUUGUUUCUUUUUUAAUUUAAAGAAUUUUUCAUUAAAAAAAUAUUUUAAUAUCAAAUUGCCUUCAGUGGCGUAACUGCCUCAGGCCCAGUAACAGGACUAAUUAAAAAUUUUACAAUUUUUGGGCAUGGAAAUAGUAGUAUUAAACAUUAGAAAGGUAAGGUUGUUCUGUUAAAGAAUUGAUAUUGACAUAAUUUUAUUUUGGUUUUCGUGGAAAAAAAAUUUGUUGACAAGUAAGAAAAUAUUUUUAUUUUUUAAAAUUUAUUAUGCAUAUUUUAUCAUAUUAAAGUAAUUUUAAUAAUAAAUAGAAACAUAAUAUUACAAUAAAUAAAUUAUAGUUUAAAUUAUUUUGAAUAUUAUAAAAAAUAAUGUUAAUAUUAUUAAUAGGAAGACAUUUUGUUAAUUUUAAAAUCUUUUUAAUCCAAAGGUUUAUUUAAAAUCUCUAUAAUAAAUACAAAUAUAAGAUUAAAAUAAAAAUCAUAAUUUCAAAAUUUUAAUAUUAUUUUAAAUGUUAAAUAUACUUUAAUGUUAUUAGCCUACUACGUAGAUUUUAUUAUUUAUAUUAUAUUCGUAUUGAUUAAAAUUUUUUAAAGUCAAUUUUUUAGUUAGUACAUUCAAGAGGUAUCAUAGUUAAAGAAAAGAUUUUGGUGCAACUGUUUUAAAAUUUCAGGGUAUAAAUGAUAAUUUUUUUUAAAAUUUUAAGGAAGUAGGUAUUAUUUUUCCGACAAUUUAUUUUAUUUUGAGGGAAAUCCGAUGAGAAAUAUCAUCAGAGAACAUUAAUUUAACAUUCUUUACCUUUAUGAAAAAAGUGGAAACCAAGAACUAUUCAAAUUUUUUUUUUUUGUGUAAUUCAAAAAAUGCAUCCACCAAACAAGCUUAUCAUAAUUUUCCCACUUUAUUCAUUUUCGAUGCUUUUCAAAAGAGGUUCCUUUAAUCCAUCUAGCAUCUGCAGCCCCCACUAUUUUACAAAUCUCCAUCCCACAUCUACACUAUCAAAAAAGUUGAUGGAAAUUGAACCCAUUAAGUUAUGUUCAUUACUGGUCAUUAUCUUUCUAUGAGCCACUUAUUUUGAGCAUUAGCGAUCUUCUAAGGAAUCAUGCCUUUUCAGGAUCGUUUUCUUUCAUUUCCUUAUUGUAGUAGUUAAUUAAAUAAAGAACGAACAAGUGAACUUUGUCUAUUUCGAGGAAGAACUAGGUUUCCAACACUAGAGGAACUUUGAAGAAAAUUAAUUGGAAGCCUUUAUUCAUCUUUGAAGAAAAUUACGUGCCAAUGUAACCAAGGCUUUUAUUCAUCUUCGGACUAUGAAUUUAUACAAAAACAUUAACAGAAAAUAACAAAGACACAGCUAAAUGAUAGCAACAAGUGUUGAUUUAGUGGACCACUUCUACAAGUAAAUAAAAACUAAAUAUUUAUUUAAGGAGGGCUUUUGUUAGUAGAGUUUUUAUAAAUAGAAAUUUAACAAAAAAAAAUUAUAGUUAUUUAGUUGUCAAUGUCCAAAUUGAUGAAUUAUUGUUCUUUUUGUUAACAUGUGUUUGUUUUACUUAAUAAUAAAAGUUUAGUUUACAAUUACACCGGUGUCAAAUCAGCAGAGCAUUUUUGCAGCCAGUCACAUUAUACAUUAUAUACUAAUAGCAUCGGCAAGAGUUUUCGAUUGUUGCAACUUGCAAUGCACGCGAUGCGAGAAAAUGAGAAUCUUGUUUAAUUGCAAUAAUGACAAACCUAAUCCUUUCAUUAGGAGUAAAUUAAUAAUCGUUUGUUAUUAUUGAAUAUGUAUAAAGAAAGGACAAUUCUAUUCAUAGAUUCGACUUAUUUUUUGUUUAAAGUAAUUAAUCAUUCAACCAUCUUCAUUUGCCUCUGGCCAAUGCCCUUGUAGAUUAGUUGAAGCGUUUAUUACUUAAUUCAGAUAAUUACAACGUCCUUUUCGCUAAUUAAUUAUGAUUAUGAACAUUUUCAUAUAGCAAGUGGCAUUGUAGAUCUAAACUACGUUGCUAUUUCAAUACGUUAAUUAAGUGAUUCUCCUCAUUGUCAUCAACGUUAUAAACAGGAAUUGUGCAAACAGUACACAAUGCUGCAGCAAGGCGUGGGUGGCUAGAGUUUUGCAACCACCCUUGAGAUCCUGUGCUGCCAGUAGUAAAAGAAUUUUACGCCAAUUUGGUAAGCCCUGGUCAGCACAACAUUUGGGUAAGAAACUCACUUGUUCCAUUAGACUCUCGAGUUAUAAAUGUUUUUUAUAAUUUACCUGCUGAAAUUAAUUGUGAGUAUGCCAAGUUGCUUGACAAAUUGACCCCGCAACAAUGGAACACAAUUUUCACGACACUUACGGUAGAGGGUGCAUCGUGGGCUAAUGAGGAGGGGCAUGUAAUUAACAAGAUAGAUUUAAAACCCAUUGCUAAGGUGUGGGUGAAAUUUCUAAAAUCCAGGCUUAUGCCAACCACCCACACCACUACUGUUUCACAGGAAAGGUUGGUGCUGUUAUAUGCUAUUGUUAGAGGGCUUCCCAUAGAUGUGGGAAGCAUUAUCGAAAAAGAAAUUCGAGAUUGUGCCAUGAAAAACCACAAGGCUGCUGCCUUGUUAUUUCUUUCACUCAUAACCAGCAUAUGUGUAGUAUCAGGUGUUCGUCUUGAUGCAAAGGAUGAAAUUUGUAAUUAUAUUAUGGCUCCAUUUGGUAUAACUUUUUAAUUCGAACUUAUUUAAGGAGAAUUUUUAUUAGUAGAGUUUUUAUAAAUAGAGAUUUUACUAAAAAACAAAAAUUAUAGUUAUUUAGUUGUCAAUGUCCAAAUUGAUGAACUAUUGUUCUUUUUGUUAACAUGUGUUUGCCAGUCACAUUAUACAUUUUUGCAACUUGCAAUGCAAGCGAUGAGAGAAAAUGAGAAUCUUGUUUAAUUGUCAAUAAUGACAAACCUAAUCGUUUCAUUAGGAGUAAUUUCAUAAUCGUUUGUUAUAAUUGAAUAUGUAUAAAGAAAGGAAAAUUCUAUUCGUAGAUUCGACUUAUUUUUUGUUUAAGGUAAUUAAUCAUUCAACCAUCUUCAUUUGCCCCUGGCCACUGCCCUUGUAGAUUAGUUGAAGCGUUAAUUGCUUAAUUCAGAUAAUUACAACGUCCUUUUCGCUAAUUAAUUAUGAUUAUAUACGUUUUCAUAUAGCAAGUGGCAUUGUAGAUCUAAAUUAUGUUGCUAUUUCAAUACGUUAAUUAAGUGAUUCUCCUCAUUGUCAUCAAGUGGAAAAUAGCUCAAUUGUUUCCCUGCAUCGAUUUUCAUUGGUAAGUGAUUUCUUAUGAUAUUCGUUUGAGCUUUCCUUAUUAAAAAAGCUUGAGCCUUGAUCACCUAAUACUGAUAUCAAUUAACUUGUGAACGAUUUUGUAAUGAAAUUAGGAGUUAAAUAUAUAAGAUUUUUACGUGAUGAAUUUUGAUUUUUUUAAUUUUUUGAUGUAGUCAAUUUGCUAAUUUUAUAUAUUUCAUAUUCAACGGAAUUUGGGCACGGAAAGUUUGGAUUCUAAUAUUUAUAUAUUUAGCUUUAAUCAGCUUGACUUUAGCAAUCUUUUUCCCUCAUCAUUAAGGGAUUCAGAAUUAGAGAAACGCUAGGAAGAGGAAGAAAAUAACUUUGGAAGUAAGUAAGAGGGAAAAAAUUAUGAAAUUUGGAAUUAUUUUUUGUAAAGUAUGUUGCGUUUACUAAACUGGAAUUAGAAUGAGCUGAAAUCAGAAUGAAUAGGAAUGCGAAUGUGCUGAAAUCGGAAUAGGUAAUGAGAAUAAGAAUAAGUUGUUUACUUGAACUGUAAAAAUCAAAAUCGGAAUGAGCUGAAUUGCAAUUACUUUGUCUUGGAAUCGGAAUCGGAAUCGGAAUGAGUUAGAUUAUAACAAAUUACUGAAAAGUACUUAAUGAAUUAUUGUCAUAAUUAUUAUUUUAUAUUUUAAUUAUAGUGAUUAUUUAUUCAAAAAUUAUUAUUAUUAAUUAUUUCCAAUAAUAUAUUAAUAUGUUAAUUAAUUUUAAAAAUUAUUAAUUAAUUUAUUAUAAUAAUAUACUAAUUAAUUAUAAUUAUUAUUAUAAAAAUAUAUUAAUAAUAAAAUUACUAAUUUAAUUGUAAUAAUAUAUGAAUUAAUUAUAAUAAUUAUUAUAAUAGUAUAUGAAUUAAUUAUAAUAAUUAUUAUAAUAGUAUAUUAAUUAAUAAUAAUAAUAAAAAUAUAUUAAUUAUGUGAUUAUUUAUUCAAAAAAUAUUAUUAUUAAUAAUUAUUGUUAAUAAUGUAUCAAUAUACUAAUUAAUUAUAAUAAUUAUUAUAAAAAUAUAUUAAUUAUUAAUAAUAAAAUUACUAAUUUAAUAAUAAUAAUAAAAAUAUAUUAAUUAUGUGAUUAUUUAUUCAAAAAUUAUAAUUAUUAAUAAUUAUUGUUAAUAAUGUAUCAAUAUAUUACUUAAUUAUAAUAUAUUAAUUAAUUAUAAUAAUAUAUUAAUUAAGUAUAAAUGAGGACAAAGUGGGUAUUUUUAAUUUCACGAAGGGGCAAAAUGGUCAAUUCUAGUAAUGGGAGACUCACUCCCACCCUCUCCUUUGGGAAUGAGUCUCCCAUUCCUCAUUCCCAAAUUGUGGUGGGCCCCAUGAUUUUGACUCCGAUUUCUAACUCAAUUUUGCGAAGUAAACGCUACCAAUGAUUCCGAUUUCGGAUUCUGAUUCACUUAUCUGAGAAGUAAAAGCAACAUAAAUGUGUAUGAAUAAUUGAUACCUAUGAAUAGUUUUGGGAGUUUUAGCUAGGAGUCAUCUAUUGAAGAUGUUUAGCAAUUGAAGAUCUCUGUCUCAGUAGUUUUCCCAAUCAAAAUCAAGAAGCAAAAAAACUUGCCAUUUUUCUACUUGAUAAUUAAUUGAAAUUUAAGAAAAUACAAUGGCAUUUCAAUUAGAAUUGGUAAUUGUUUAUCUUUUUUCAUUGAUCAAAUUCUAAUCGUGAUCCAAUAGUUAUGGAUGAAGGAAAUAUUAUGAGAGGCGAUAGGCCAAGUGAAGACGUACCAGCAAAUUCAAAAUAGUCGGGAGGUGGACGUCCAGCAUAUCUCCUUCUCUCUGUAGCACCCAGAUGCAUUGUUAUUUGCUCCAAGAAAUGUUAAAAGGAUUGGCCCUAUCUCAAUGUGGUUAGUGGCAAGGGCGGAGACAGCAUAUUAAUUGACUGUGGGCUUACUCAACUGCGAUAAAAAAAAUUUAAAAAAUAAUAAAUAAUAAAUUUAAAAGAUUUAUCAUACUUCAAUAUAUGUUUAUAAUUAUCCUUUACGAGUUUUCAUACAUUGAUAACGUUGUAUUACAACUUCAUUAUCAAUAUUAUUGUGGGCUGUUUAAAAAUUUGAUUAAUAUUAAUAUUUAUAGGCUUGAUUUUAUUUUGUAAAGCCCAUCUCUUUUUAUUUGUUUUAAAAACUUAGAGUGUGAGAAUUUAAGUAUAAUUAUGUAUUAGGAACUUGAAUAUAAAUUAGUGGGGGCUUAGGAAAAAUUUAUUAGAAAUUUUUGGCAAAUCAAAUUAGUUAGUAAAAGAUUUUUUUUUUUUUUUUCAGUGGGGACUUAAGUCCCCACUGGUCCCAAGCUAGAUCCGCCACUGGUUAGUGGUGAAAAAUUAAACACCAUGGAAGGAUUUGCAAGGAAUAUGCCAAGAAACUGGCUAAGUUCCACAAAUAUGGCAUUAUUGCUCUUUUUUUUUUAAAGAAAAAUUAUACACGUUAAUUUAGCAAAAAGUCUAAGACACGUGCCUUUUGAAAAGAAUAGCUAUUACCAUGACACAAUCGAUGCGGCUGAAACCAAAAUUUUCUUUUCUUAAUGUAAAGUUUUUUUUUUAAAUAGAUUUUAAUAUCAAAAUGCCCUUCGAUGUUAUUACUCUCACAAGCCCUGUAACAGGAGUAAUAAAAAAGUUUAGAAUUUUUGGGCAUGAAAAAAGUAGUAUUAAACAUCAGCAAGCAAAGGUUGUUCUGUUAAAGAAUUGAUAUUGACGUGAUUUUAUUUUGGUUAUCGAGAAAAAAAUAUAUUUGUUGACAAGUAAGAAAAUAUUAUUAUAUUUUACAAUCUAUUAUACAUAUUUUAUUAUAUUAAAUAAUACUAAAUAGAAACAUAAAAUUAGAAUAAAAUAAAUUAAAAUUAAAAUUAAAAUUAUUUUGAAUAUUAUGUAAAAAAUAAUGUUAAUAUCAUUGUUACUUGUAAAAUAUAUUUAGCCUAAAGAUUUAUUUAAAAUUUUAUAAUGAAUAAAAAUAUAAAAAUAAAUUAAAUAUCAUAGUUUAAAAUCUUAAUAUUAUUUUAAAUAUUAAAAAUACUUUAAUGUAUCUUAAUAUUAUUUUAAAUAUUAAAAAUACGUUAAUGUUAUUAUUCUACUACACAUGUUAUAUUAUUUAUAUUAUAUUUGUAUUAAUUAAAAAUUUUAAAGUCAACUUUCUAGUAACUAUAUUCAAAGGUAUUAUGGUUAAAUAAAGGUCUUAGUGUUUCUUUUUCAAAAUUUGAGGGUCUACAUGAUAAUUUUUCCAAACCCUAAGGUAUAGGAGUCCUUUUUGUCAAUAAUUUAUUUCACUUUUGAGAGAAUACGAUGAGAAAUAAGAUCAGAGAAAUGUCAAUUUAAUGUUCUCUAGCUUAAUGAAAAAAAAAUGGAAACCAAGAACUAUUCAAUUUUGUAUUUUUUGUUUGUAAUUCAAAAAAUCCAUCCGCCAAACAAGAUUCACGCAUUUAUGUUGUCAUAAAAUGAAAAAACAGUUUGUGAAAAAAUGGCACCAAACAUACCCUUAAUGUCCCACAUGAUUUCUUAUGAAGCCCAUAUUAGAUAUAUUUAUACAUUUUACUGCAUUUAGGACAUGUUUGAUAGCCUGCAUUAUAUAGGAUAAAAACAUAAUUUUGUAUUAAAUUAAUGCACACUCACGUUUGGCGCUAAAAGUAACUCCAGCCGCAUUGCAUUAAUGGGCUGCUACUGCGGCAAUUGCCGCACUAGCUUGCCUCUUUUUCUUUUUAAUUUUAUUUAUAAUAAUAAUAAUAAUAAUAAUAAUAAUAACAUAAUAUAACUUUUAUUUUAAUAUAAUAUUAAGUAUAAUUUUUAUUUUUACAUUAUAAUUAUUGAUAUAAAUUAAUAAAUUUAUUAUUUAUUAUUCAAUAAUAUUAUAUUAUUAUUUUUUUAUUUUUACAUUAUAAUUUAUUAGUAAAUUUAUAAUUUAAUAUAAUUAAUGAUAAUAGAAAAUAUCAUUACAUGUACUACAAAACUCUUACUUGGAUUAUUUAACACAAUUUAUUUUAUUCGUGAAUAUGUUAUAACAAUUGUAUCACUUUAUUGUUUUGUUAUUAUUUUGUGGUAUGUAUAAAUUUUUAUUCUAUUAUUCAAAGAUGACUUUUGAACUAAUCUUAUAGGUUUUAACUAUUUAUUUAUGUUGUUAUAUUAUUAGAGAUUAUUUGAUUAAAUUAUUUGCUUCGAUCUUUAUUUUACAGGUCAUAUAUUUAGAAAUUACUGAAAAAUAAAUGUUCUACUUCCAAAAAAUUUAAGGCUAUAAGCUCGAUCUUUAUGAAUAAUUGUGAUAUUUUUUAACAUUUACACUAAAAAAAUUGUUAAAUUUCUAAAAUUUAAGACUUCUAUAUUUAGUAUUUUUCCAAUUACUAAUAAGUAUUAUUUUCUAAAUAUAUAAUUUAAAUUAAUCACAAAAAAUUAAUACAGUACAGUGCAAUAUCAAAUAUAAUAUAAUUAAAAAUUAUACAGUACAAUGUAGCACCAAAUAUUGUACAAUAUUAUUAUAAAAUAGUACUGAUGCAAUACAAUAUAAUACAAUAUAGUGUGCCAAACGCACCCUUAGAGUGUGUUUGGAACAUGGGAUUAUAGGGUAUUAAAACACUGUUCACAUUAGCUUAAUACCAAUAUCAUGUUUGGAAAGAAAUUUUAAGGGAUUAAAGGGGGGUGAGCUAAUGCCAUAACUGCGCCAUUAGUGUCUUGGUUUUUUUUUAAAUAAUAAUAAAAAAUAUAAAUUCCUAAUUUUAUGUAAUAUUAUAUAAUAUUAAUUUUUAUUUUCUUUGAUCUUUACAUUAUAGUAAUUAAUAUAAGUUAAUAAAUUUAUAAUUUAUUAUUCAUAUUUUAAUUUUUAUUAUAUUAAAAAUAUAACUAAAUAAUUUAAUUUUAAUUAUAUAAUAAUUAAUGUAUAAAAUUGAUUAAUAUUUAAUAAGUUAAUACAACUAGUAAUAAGUGCUUAAAUAAUAUAUAAAAAUAAAAAUAUAACAUAAUAUUACAUUAUUUAAUUAUAUUACAAUAACUAAUAUAUAAAAAUUGAUUAUUAUUUAACAAUUUAAUAUAGCUAAUAAUAGAUACUUAAAUAAUAAUUUAAUAUAACUAAUAAUGAAUAUUGAUAUAUGAAUAUAUUUAAAUAAUAUUAAUACCAAUAUAUAUAAUAAUAUAAAAUAUUAUUACAUGUACUGUAGUAUUCUUACUUGGAUUAUUUAGCGCAAUUUAUUUUAUUAGUGAAUAUGUUACAACUAUUGUAUCACUUUAUUAUUUAAAUUAAUCAAAAAAAUUAAUACAGUACAAGAUAGCACUAAACAUUGUAUAACAUUAUUAAAAUACAGUGUUAAUGCAAUACAAUAUAAGACAAUACAUCUAUAUUAAAAUAAAAUAAAAUAAUUUAAUUUAAUAUAAUACAGUAUGUCAAACGCACCUCGUAUAUUUUAAUUUCAAAAGAAGUUGGUCCUUCCGUUAUUUAUAAAAGAUAACUUUAUUUUCAGAUUACCACUAAACUCUGAAGUAGAAUUGGUGUAAUGUUAAGAGAGAGUAACACAGUUUUCCAUUACCAUCUUUGAAAAUAGAAAGAUAUGGAUCAGUGUAUUUAAGAGUUAUCGUGAAAAUCAUACAGUUCAAUUCCCUGACACAUAUAUUUAUGAGCAUAUGCCAAAAGAAUAAAUAGAUAGAAAGUAAAUUUACAAUCCUCACUUCCUCACAAUUGUUAAAAUGAAGAUGCAUUACAACUGUGAACUGUCACUAUUUUAGCCUUUUUUAUUUUUUACUUUUAGUUAUAGUGCGAUGGAGACAGUGAACAUCAAGGAUGAGAAUAAAAGUUAAAGAUGACCCACCCACUUUCUUUUUAAAGUGCUCUGCUCAAAGACAAACUUCCUCUGGCUAAUUAAUUUAGAUGUGAAGAGAGAAUAAAGUCCUAGAUGCCUUCUGAAAUUAGAAAUACAUUUUAUAUGCUUUAAUUAUGAUUAUUUGGUAGACUAUAGACCUAAAAGACAUGUUAGAUUAUAAAACAGUGCGAUUAAAAAAAAAAGAGUAUUUGUGACGUCAAAUAACAAUUGGUAACUAAAAUCCAAAAUAUUUGAGUUGUUAAAAGCAAAUAAAAAAAAAGAAGGUAAGAGUGAUGCAGAAACACAAUAUUAGCUUAUCUUGAUUUUCCCACUUUAUUCAUUCUCGAUGCUUUUCAAAACAAAUUCUUCUAAUCUUUCUGGUGUCUGCAGCCCCUUGUCACGGGACGAGAGGUUUCGAGCCCGUGCGGUACUCUCGCAUCCCAUACUGCGAGAGUAAACCUAGUGGAAGUGGCACAAUAUCGACUGGUUUCACCCUGUCUUGGGCUCAUCAGGAGAACGGCUCCAGUUCCCAACCAGUGUGUGAAGAGCUUCGCCUAAACCCCUCUUCAACGUUAAGUCCUUGACUAGCGACAAGCUCCCCAAACUCAACCAGGUUGGCCUGCCUGAACUCCAAGAAAUCUAGGAUCAUUGUAUUCCCCACACGACGCCCCUGAAGCACGUCUCCUACAAUCAGCACAACCCUUAUCGAUACCAGCGUACAAACGCAUAUCUUCGGCGUCACAAUUGCAGUCCGUGACACCCUGCUCUUGUUAUAAAACUCCACCCCAAAUCUACACUACAAACAAGUUGAUUGAAAUUAAACAAUUGCUUUUUGAAGUGGACCCAUUGAGUCGUGGUCAUUACUCGUCAUUGUCUAUUUUUUCUAUGAGCCAUUUAUUUUGAGCAAUAGUGAGCUUCUCUGAACUACUCCAAUUAUUGAUGUAACUCCAGUGGCUGCAUCCAUAGUUGAAUAUAUGACAGUAUUAGCUCUUAUUUGAGAAUAUAGGGGGAUCUUUCUUUGUUUCUUUGUUGCAGUGUUCUAGUUUAUAGUCUUGCUGUUAAUGAAUUCACUGAGGCAUUAUUAAUUUAAUUUCAGUGAAGUAAUUAUGGAUGAAAAAUAAAUAAAGGAUAACAGAAUAGAGCUGAAGUGCUGAAUCGGCUAUUAAAGAAAGUGUCACGUGAUCACAAUCACACUGAUGCACAACUCUCUCUAUGUACUCCAAAUUCAGCCAAACCAUACAUGCCUCAACAAAAUUAAACCGUAGUUCUCAUCACUACAGUAAAUGAAGCCCACAAAGACAGCUGAAAUGGAAAAUAUUGACUAUUGAAUGGAUCAAUGCUGAAUUACACUUGAAAUGGGAAGCUUGGCUGCGGUUACGAUGUUUCCCCCUCUGAUUUUUCUCCAAAACAAAUUCCGUUGUAAAUAAUAUUCAAUGUAGCAACACUUUAUUCAGCAAAGAAAAUACCUAAUUUUUCAACUAACAAAUUCUCUUGUCUAAACUAAAAAAACUCACAUCUCUCCAAUCUAUCUACAAAAUAUUGGAGAUGAGAGGUGAUUUGUCAACUCGAUAAAUAAAUUCAUGCAUAAUGUUACCAAUAAUGAUAAAUUACUUAAUAAUUCUUAUAAAGAAUCAUAAAUAAGGAACAUUAACCAUUUUACAGUCUAUUACAUAAGUAAGAUUAAUCUUAUAAUAAGUUAACUUAUAACGUAAUAAAUAUUUCAAUUCAUAAUUAUUUAAGAAGUCACUUAACAAUAAAAUAUUUUUUUAUUUAAUUGAUCAUGUCAUAUAACGUUAUCUAAACUCCUGACGAUAUUAUUAUUACUCACUUUUCUCAAAAAAACAUGACUAACGUUUAGAGAAAAGUCAUGCCUUUUAGAUAGAUAGAAUAUGAUUACAAGCUAUCCAUACUUUAUCUUACCAUGACAAAAUUGAUGGUGAUUAAAUCUAUUUUUAAAAUAGAUUUAAUGCACAAACAUGAUGACUUUUGCCAAAAAUUAGUUUCAGAAGAUAACUAAAUUAAGUUGCAAAGGAGCUUACUUCAAUUUCUAAGCUUUUCAAUCAUGAUUCCUCCAUGCCUUCCUCUGAUACCAUUUUGUUACGUGCCAACGUAAUUGACCUUGUAAUUGGUUUGUAUAAGGAAUGAAGCCCUUUCAAGAUCGUUUCUUUUGUGUCCAUAUUGUAGUAGACUAGUAGUCAAGUAAAUAAAGAGUGAAUAACUGAAUUUGGUCUAUUUCGAAGAAGACUAUGGCCUCCACACUACAAGAAAAUAGGCGAUAGAUAACGGGAAAUAACCGUCAUAAAAGGUGGUGUAUGACAGACAGUUUAUUCGUCAUCUAUGUCACUGUCAUUAAUUUAUGACAGAAUAUUUUCCGUCAUGAAUUCUUGAUGUUAUUUUACAAUCAUAUAUCCAUCACACAAUAUUUUAAUGAGAAAAAAUAAUUAAAUAAAAUUUGAAUUUAUUAAAAUUUUUGCUCUAUUUUUUAAUUUUUUGGCGGAAAAUUAAAUUGUCAUUUGUAAAUUUCUUAUUCAAUUUUGGUGGAAAAUUUUUUUAUGACAGACUUUAUGAUGUGUAUUUCCCAUCAUAAAGUUAAUUUUUUUAAAUUAUAUUGUGAUUAUAGUUUAUUUCUGAAUUCCUGUUUACAAAUUUAAUUAAUUAAUAAAAAAUGAAUAUUGUCAAAAAAUAAAAAAAUAAUAGUAACUAAAAUCCAUUCAAUCCAACAAAUUAAUUUCAAAAUAAAUACAUCUAAUAUUCAAUGUCAUUACCACUAAUACAUAAUAAAACAUCCCAAAUUAAAAAAAAGAAUGUCAAAAUAUAAAACAAUAGUUAAAUUCCAAUUAAAUUCCAAGAAAUGUAAUUCAAAUUCCGGACACCGAGCCAAGCUCCCCAGCAAAACUUCCAAAGAUUAAUGGAAAUAUUCCAAUAGCAAGACUUCCAGAAGCAAUACCCUCUUCCAGUGGCAAUACAUUGACUAAUCUUUGAAGCCAUGACUCCUCAAGCCAAUGCCAAAAAUGUGUGCAAAAUUAAUGCUCUAUCCACAAAAAUUUCAGUCUAUAUUGGUAAGAAGAAACAUGAAGAAACAAUUACCUCAGCAUCAUCGUCAUUGGAAGCCAAAUCAGCUGUAAAGACCACAAAAUGUUUGGUUAGAACUAGUGGAAGUCUUACUCUAAAACUUUUAAUUUUUGAAUUUCGAAAGAUCUAGUAAUGACAAAGAUUCUCAUAUCCAGUGACCAAGUUUUGAAAAUUAGAAUACGGAAUAACGUCAACUAAAUUCACUAAUAUAGGGUGCAUUUGAGAUUGAGGUUGGACAGCUGUAGCUUAAAAGCUACAGUAGUAAAGUGUUUGGUAAACACUAGUUGCUGUAAUUUAAAAACUAUGUUGAUAUGAUUUUUCACUUGUAUAAUGGAGAAUCUAUUUUUUUAAAUAAUUAUGUCAAAAUUAUUAUUUAAAAUUUAUAUUUACUACAUAUUAUUAAUUUUUGUUUCAUAGUCACAGUUUUUUUUCCACAGCAGUUGUAAAGCUACAUCACCUCAAUCCCAAACGCACCCUAAGCUAGAGGAAUCCCUAGUUGAUAUAGCACACAUGCACACAUGAUAUGCAUGCAUCAGAAUACACAAUAAUAAAUUAUCUCAAAGUCAAUAAGAAGCCAAAACUAGAGAUAAACCUUUAGCCACUAUAAGGAAGACUGAUAUUUGCAGUGUGAUUACAAUAAACAAACAGAAACUUCACUACCCAUAAGUAAAGCAAAAUAAAUAAAGGAUAAUAACUAACCAAGAAAUGGAAAAGCUCACAUUCUCUGAACACGCACCCCAAAAAGAAAGAAAGAAAUAAAUGUUCCCAUUGGAUCUGAAGCACAAGCAAUCCACUGACAUCCUUCUAUAAUUAGGUAAUUUAAAGGGGUUAAGCUCACAUCUUUUACGGAAGCAACAAGAGAAUUAACAACAUUCCAGAGGAUUUAGGGAAAAACCACGAGGCAAGAAAAAAGAAAGAUCCUUCUUCAAUCUAGAUAUCUUGACACUGCUCACCAUCUACAGCAGUCUGGGGCUUAAAAAGCAUGAUCUCUCCCCCCCUCUGGCACCAUUUUCUCUCAUGUGAAUCUGUCAUUGCCCGUAGAAACAAACCAGAACUGCAUAAAUUCUCUUAUCUUCCAGCAGCUUCUUUUCUCCAGAAAUAGGCACAACUAUUUGACAUGGAAACAAUUUAUCUAACAUGGCCACCUUUAAAGACAAAGACAUACUAAGGACAUGGUUUUAGAUACGGAUACAAGAAACAAUCACAAAAUGUAAAAUCUAUACAUAUGAUAUUAAUUUCCAAUGGAUACAGCACUUCAUUCUUUGACUUAACUUCAUUAGAUUACUAGGUUUGAUUAGGUUAUACACACAUUUAUUCAUUUAUGGUUUUCAACCUAUAAUCUACAUGCACUUAGAAUGAGAGGUACCUAUAAAAACAAGUUACCAGAAAACAAUACAGCUAGAAAACAUUAAAACAUUAAUCUAAGCAGUUCUAUAGGUUUAACUAACUGCAGGAAAAAACCGUUGAUUUUGUCCGUCGGAUUAUUGAGAUCCUAAUUCUGGUAAAAAGAAAAUGAGAUAAUAGAAAAUCAAAAAUUAAAUAGACACAAAAUGAGAAAUCAAGAUCAUACGGCAACUAAUAUAUAGCAUGGGCUGCAGCUAACAAGCAAUAUAAGCCAUGAUAUUAUGCCAGAUACAAAAUUUUGAGAUCCAAGAGAGAUCAAGAAGCAUGAAUAUUGAAAGAAGUGAGUGCAGAAGGAUAAGAAAUCAGGUUGAUAUUCUUCAUACUUUGGGUCAACACGUAGUGAUGCAAUAAACUUGUAAUUAGCUUCAAGUGUAUAGGCUACCAUGUCAACAUUUCCGAAAACACACAAGAUUGUGCUGGAUUCAUAUAUAGUACAUAUAUAAAAAAACAAUCUGCUUCUAAACUUCAUGAGAACAUCGAAUAAUGAACUUACAAUUUGAUCCCUCAUCAUCUUCAUCGCACCAUUUGUUCCAAUCAACCUUAAUGUAAGGUGCUGGUUUCUCUUCUGACUUGAGUAGCCUUUUCCACCAACCUUUCUCUUCUUUUUGCACCGAGCAUAUUAUGUUCCUUAAGCCAACUUUAGUCUUACAUUUCUGCACCACCAGCAACAAAAUUCAAAGCAUUACAAAAGAGGUAUAUUUAGCCGCUCUUGACUCGAGUGAGAGAACAGGAUAAACAGCCUAGGUAUAUCCACAUCCAUGUUAUGAGAUUAAUUAUGCAACAACUAACUUUAAUAUAAAGUUUGUGCUCCAACAAAGACUAAAAUGUUUGUAAUUGUUAUGCUUCCGGAGCUAAAAUGUUUCGCAAACACUCACUUUUACUCUGCAGCUAAUAUCUAGCACCCAGCCACACAAAGUCCGUAGUCUUUGUCUCAACUUUGUCUGAGGCCAAUGUAAAUCCAAUUUGCACAAGCUCUCUAUGCACCACAGCUCUUCUGGAAGCUUUCUCAAGUACGCACAAGGGUUGACAAUUAAGCUUUCAAGUUUUGGUAUUGCUCCAGCCCCCAUCGUCCACUCAUCUAGCCAAUACAUUGAUUUCAGGCGCAAAACCUUAAGUUCCGGAAAGCCACCCGAGCAAGCACAGGCCAGCUUUCUUCCUAAAUACAAGCUCUGCUUCAGUUUCAGCACUUGAAGGCGUGGAAGCUUUUUGAUAAGGAAAGGGAGCCACGGAGGUCAACAAAGGUUCAUAAGCCUAACUACAGAUACGAGGGCUUUGUUUGAACAUUCGUAAGUCUCAUGCAGCCAUGCAUGCGGUCAUGCAUGUUGCAUGCAAUACCAUGCAAGACUUAUUUACGCAUGGAUUAAAGAGUAGUCUGUUUCUAGUUUUUUAUUUAAGAUUGCUCAGUUAUUUAAAUUGAUUUUAGCCGUGAAUUGUGGCUACAAAUCCUUAGUAGUGUUUGUAUUAACUACUAUAAAUAAGCUCCAGCAAUUAAUAAAAGGAUUAUGCAAAAAAUUAUCUCAAAGUACUAUUCUUGGUCGUUUUCACCGUAAGUAGAACAACGUAAACUUAGCUAUUGUUGAACGUUUUUGAUUGGGACCUAUCACUUUUCCAGCCUUGGCAUGGGAUCCUCCAUUAGCUCAGUAUUUGAUAAGCUCAGUUGGGUCAGACUUGGAGGAAAUUGGUAUUCAGACAGGACCGUCCGUGAGAGCUUGCUUUCAUUCACCAGCUUCAAGCAUUCAAGUUUCUCUAGUUCGCAUAGGCUUUUGGAAAUCCCAGAUUGAUAGUAACUCAAAUCUCCAGACACUCUAAGAGUUUGAAGAUUAGGUAGUCUGCCCAAUAUAGCUGGAGUGCAACUACUAGGGUGUAAGGCUGAUAUGAAAAUGAGAUUUUUCAGAGAGCUGGAAUAAUUUUUUGGAGGCGCAGGCAGAGUGAUGCAACCGAAGUUUAAAUGCACGAGUUUUCGCAUCAUCCAAAUAUCCUCUGGUGAAUGAUCUAUGUAGCUUGAUGGCAUUUCUAGUGUUUGAAGGUUUAAAAGAGUGCAUAGCAGUGAAGGAAGGCAUUUGAGCGAGGGGAUAUUCAAUUUCAAAUACUUCAAAUGGAAAAAGUUUCUAAUCCGGGCGGAUAUUGGUCGAGAAUUGCAGAACCCAAGUUCAAUACCCCAAGGUGUUUGAACGUUUGACGAAAAUUCUCGCAAUCUAUCAGAGCGAGAUGAUCGCUUUCUGAACUGUGAUUCAGAAAAGAUUGGAGAUAGAUGUCAGGAUGUUCUAAAGAUAAAAACUGAAUCAGAUGUUCCAAAAUGAAGCACCGUUUAACAUUUGCCAGUGGUUCCUUUUCCCUUUCAUGCAUGCAGACAAAUUCCGUCUGCGCUGCCACCAAAAACAAUGGAGUACAUAAAAAACUUGGAACAUAACACGCUUUAAUUGUGCCUCCGGCUCUUCUCUUACUCACUUGAAUGAAGCCGCAAUAGAUUAGUUCUUUCAAAUAAUGCUCGGCAGUUUCUUCACUGUUGUAUGGUAUGAAACCUUCAGCUACCCACAAAUGAUAUAAUUGCCUCGUAGAUAUUUCAAUACUUGGACGAAAGACACACAAAUAGAUGCAGCAGACUUUCAAGUGAAAAGGUAACUCCAUCAAAGAAUAACUGUGUCUCUAAAUUGUCGGAAUCGCUACGCCUUGAACAUAAUUUUCUAAUGGCAUACUUCCAUAGUGUAGGAUGAAAAAUUGCCAGGCUUUAUGCUUUAAUCUGAUCAAUGGUCCUCCACUGAGCACUGAAUCAAACCGAAUCAUCUCUCCGUUUUCCAUGUCCAACAGCGUAAGGGGGCAUGGAUCAGUGACCAAUAUCAAUACUCUGCUUCCAUUCUGAUUGUCAGGAAGAACUUGUUCAAGAUCAUCCAAUACAUCGUCACUCUCUUCACAGUAAUCAUCAAGCACAAUAAAGUACUUCUUGUUUGUUAGGAAAUCUCGAAGAAUAGAUUUCUUCAAUUGAUAAUGUUCACCGAUAAUUACACUAACCCGAGAUGGAGGCAUCACAGACUUGAUUAUGUCAUCCAAUAUCUUGCCAAAAUCGUAGAGUACAGAAAUCCUGACCCAAGCAAGGCAGUCAGAGAAUUGCAACCACUGCAAGCCGAGGAUGUCCUUCAAUCAAUAAAUCAAACAACUCCUCUCUACCACUUUCAAAUUCGUUGAUAUCAAGCCGAGGUUUUCCCUCAAUCAAUAAGUGAAUGAGUUUGUCCCUUUGUUCAGUGAUUACGAAACCAUUGUCGCCGGGUGGAAGUUGUUGCAUCCGAUUUCUAAUAUCAAUAAUUUUACUGUGGAGUCCAACAAGAAGAGCCAUAUUAGUACUGCUUUCACUUUCUUCUUCACUGUUUUGCUGCUGCAUGAUGUUGAUGAAGAAUGUGUCAAUGGCUUCCUCAGAUUCAUGGACAAAGUCAUUGAUGUCCUUCACAAUUUCCAGAAUGUCUGAUCUUUUAACGUCUUCAUCGCUUUCUUGUAAAAAAGCCAAAUAUAUUUCGGAUUCAUCGAAUUCUCCUCUAAUGAGUUGAAACAAAAGCCGAGCCAUGUCAGCUUCAUAGUUUCCCACCAGAGUAGUAGCAAUGAUUUCUGACUCCGUAAGAAGGUUCUGAAAAAGUGGAGUCAAAUUUGUUCAAUCAGGCAACGUUAACGCGCCUUCUUCACCUGCUAGCACCCUUUUCAACCUCUCACAAAAUAGUCGGAGGUUCACGUCCACCAUAUCUCCUUCCCUCCGUAGCACUCAGAGAAGAUUGGUCCUAUCUCAAAGUGGUUAGUGCUGUAAAAUUAAACACCAUGGAAGAAUUUGAAAGGAAUAUGCCAAGAAACUGGCCAAGUGGCUAAAUUCCACAAAUAUGACAUUAUUGCUCAUUUUCUCUCAGACACGUGAUACACGUUGAUUUAGAGGAAAGUUCAAGAAUUUUGCUUUAAAAAAAAAAAUUGAUGGUGCUUAAAUUAUUAUUUUUUUAAUUUAAAGAGUUUUGCUUUUAAAAAAAAAUUAAUAUCAAAAUGCCUUCAAUGUUAUUACUGCCACAAGCCCAGUAACAAAACUCAUUAAAAAUUUUAGAAUUUCUGGCCAUGGAAAGAGUAGUAUUAAACAUCAGAAAGCAAAGGUUGUUCCGUUAAAGAAUUGAUGUUGACAUAAUUUUAUUUUGGUUUUCGGGAAAAAAAAAAUAUUUGUUGGCAAGCAAAGAAAAUAAUUUUAUACUUUACAAUCUGCUAUACAUAUUUUAUCAUAUUAAAGUAAUUUUAAUAUCUAUCAAAAAAAUAAAUUUAAUAAUAAUUGGAACAUAAUAUUACAAUAAAUAAAUUAAAAUUAUUUUAAAUAUUAGGAAAAAAAUAUUAUUAAUAGGAAGAUAUUUUGUUAAUUGUAAAAUCCUUUUAUUCCAAAUAUUUUAUUUAAAUUUUUUAUAAUAAAUAAAAAUAUAAAAUUAAAAUAAAUAUCAUAAUUUAAAUUUUUUAUAUUAAAAAUAUUUUAAUGUUAUUAGUCUACUACAUAAAUUAUAUUAUUUAUAUUAUAUUCGUAUUGAUUAAAAUCUUUUAAAGUUAAUUUUAUAGUUACUAUAUCCACAGGGUAUUAUAUUAUAUUUAAGAGUAAUUUUUUCAAAUUUUAGGAUUGCAGAUGUCCUUCUUCCGAUAAUUUAUUUCACUUUUGAGAGAAUCCAAUGAGAAAUAUGAUAAGAGAUGGUCAGUUUAAUGUUCUCUGCCUUUAUGGAAAAAAAGUAAAAAGUAAAAACUAUUCAAUUUUGUACUUUUUGUGUCCACCAAAUAAAUUUUACACAUUUAUGUUGUCAUAAAACGAAAAAAAAGGGUUUGCCAAAAAAUGGUACCAAGCAUACCUUUAAUGUCCCACGUGAUUUCUUAUUAAGCCCAUAUUAUAUAUAUUUAUACAUUUUAUUGCAUUAAACAUUUUUAUUAUAAAAGAAGUUGGUCCUUCCCCUAGUGAUAAAAGAUAAAUAUGAUAAUGUUUGAGAUGGGUUUAGUCUUUUAUAUUUGCUGAGUCCAGUGGGUUAAAGAAUUAGAGUAAAGCAUCUGGGCAUUCUUUCAUGCAAAACUAAAAAUCCUGAAAAUAGUUGGCUUUAACUGAUUAAGACAAGCUUGGUCGAAUUGAGUUGAACUUCAUAUAUAAAAGCCAAAUAUAUUGCGGAUUCAUCGAAUUCUUCUCUAAUGAGUUGAAACAAAAGCCGAGCCAUGUCAGCUUCAUAGUUUCCCACCAGAGUAGUAGCAAUGAUUUCUGACUCCGUAAGAAGGUUUUGAAAAAGUGGAGUCAAAUUUGUUAAAUCAGGCAACGUUAACGCGCCUUCUUCACCUGCUAACACCCUUUUCAACCUCUCACAAAAUAGUCGGAGGUUCACGUCCAGCAUAUCUCCUUCUCUCCGAGAAACUGUGUAAGUGGCUAAAUUCCAGAAAUAUGACAUUAUUGCUAUUUUUUUAACUCAAAAAAAUGGUACGCGUUCAUUUAGAGAAAAGUUCAAGACGCGCGCCUUUUGAAAAAUGGUACCCGUUCAUGUAGAGAAAAGAACAGGUAUCCCAAUCGGUAUCCAACCUUUAUCUUCUUUAAUUACCACCACGACAUGAUUUUUUUUUUUUUUUUUUGAUGACAUGAGACUAUUGCUUAAAUUACAACUCAAAUUACAACUCAUAUUACAUGAGAGUAUAAUUGAUAUGUACAAUCAUAUAUACAUACUGAGAUCUAUUGACAUUAAUGCUGAUAUGACACUGCUCAGAUUUUUGUAACCCUCUCAAAUAUUCGAGGGACGUCAAACUCCUAUCCUGGGAGAAAGACUGCCUUCACUCGAGCUCUGUGGCUCCAAGGAAGGAAAUAUAAAUUAAACCUCUACAAUGCGACUGCGGAGGCUCGAACCCCUUCCCUCACAUAUGUGAGGGAGUGGCUCUAGCCACUUGGGCUAGCCCAAGUGGUUCCACGACAUGAUUGAUGGUGCUUAAAUCAAUUGUUUCUUUUUUAAUUUAAAGAAAUUUUCAUUAAAAAAAUAUUUUAAUAUCAAAUACCCUUCAAUGGCAUAACUGCCGCAAUCCCAGAAACAGGAUUAAAUAUUUUUUUUUUUUUGAAUUUUUGGGCAUGGAAAGAGCAGUAUUAAAAAUCAGAAAGCUAAGGUCGUUCUGUUAAAGAAUUGAUAUUGACAUAAUUUUUUUUUGGUUUUCGGGGGAAAAAAAAAAUUGUUGACAAGCAAGAAAAUAUUUUUAUAUUUUACAAUUUAUUAUACAUAUUUUUUUUUUUUGGAUCAAUAAUGGGCUCUAAAAGAGCUAAAGCACCAGUAAACGGGAGUGGGCAACCCCAGACACAUCGUUAUGAAGAAUACUCUGUAAAUUAGGAGGAGCAACAGUAAGUAACUGCAAUCCUAAAGGACAAGACAAAUUAAAUGAGGCCAGAAAAUCUGCUGCUAUGUUUGCUUCUCGAUAGAUGUGGUUCACUUUCACGACCCAGUCCCUGCUGAUCAGCUCACGAAUGGCAAGGAUAAGAGAAUGAUGCUCAUUAACAGGAGUGGUCGGAUUCUCCAAGAUUUGAGAUUUAUUAUACAUAUUUUAUCUUAUUAAAGUAAUUUUAAUAAUAAAUAGAAACAUAAUAUUACCAUAAAUAAAUUAAAGUUUAACUUAUUUUGAAUAUUAUAAAAAAUAAUUUUAAUAUUAUUAAUAGGAGGACAUUGUAUUAAUUUUAAAAUUUUUUAACCCAAAGGUUUAUUUAAAAUCUUUAUUAUAAAUACAAAUAUAAAAUUAAAUAUAAUAAUUUAAAAUUUUUAAUAUUAUUUUAAAUAUUAAAAAUAUUUUAAUGUUAUUAGUCUACUACAUAGAUCAUAUUACUUAUAUAAUAUUUGUAUUAUUAAAAAUUCUUAAAAUCAAAUUUUUAGUUAGUAUAUUUAUGAGGUAUUAUGGUUAAAAAAAAAACCUUAUUAUUACUUUUUAAAACAUUGAGGGCCUGCGUGAUAAUUUUUUCAAAAAGAAAAUGCUUGGUAUCUAGGAGGGUUAGAGAAACAGGACUACCAAAAUCUCUCACCCUUUUUUAAUUAAAAAAAAUUAAAAUAUCAAUAAAAAAAAUAAAGAAAAUAGAAUUUUAUCUGCUCCUUACUCCAUUUUUGUAACUCUCUCACCAUCUCUGUCGAGCAGCCCUCUCUUUCACUGUCUCUCACUAUUUCACAAUCUCUCUCUCACUCACACAGUCCUUUAGAAAAGCCCAAAAUAGGCCCAAUAAGCCCAUAAUUAAAAUAAUCGAAUCGAAUUAUUUCAAUUAAUCGAGUAUUUGAUUAUUUCGGUAAUUUGAUUAAUCGCGAUUAUGAUUUUAAAAUAAUCGUAAUCGAACGAUUAUGAAAAAUUUAGUAAAAAACCGAAUUGAACCGAACCGCACCCACCCCUACAUAAAAGAACAACAAUUACUUGUCAUUUUCAAUUUUUUCUAUAAGCUAUUUAUUUUGAGCAUUAGUGAUCUUGUCUGGACUACUCCAAUUAUUGACGUAACUCCAGUGGCUGCAUCCACUGGAAAAAGUGGAUGAGAACAUUUUUUUUUUUCAUAAAGGUAACUACUCCAAUUAUUGACAUAAUUGAUGGUGCUUAAAUCAAUUUUUUUUUUUAAUUUAAAGAAUUUUGCUUUAAAAAAUAAUUAAUAUCAAAAUGCCUUCAAUGUUGUUACCGCCACAAGCCCAGUUAGAGGACUCAUUAAAAAUUUUAGAAUUUUUAGGCCUGGAAAGCGUAGUAUUAAACAUCAGAAAGCAAAGGUUGUUAUGUCGAAGAAUUGAUGUCGACAAAAUUUUAUUUUAGUUUUCGGAAAAAAAAAAAAAUUUGUUGACAAGCAAGAAAAUAUUUUUUAUACUUUACAAUCUGCUAUACAUAUUUUAUCAUAUUAAAGUAAUUUUAAUAAUAUAUGGAAACAUAAUAUUAUAAUAAAUAAAUUAAAAUUACUUUGAAUUAUUGAAUAUUACAAAAAGAUAAUUUUAAUAUUAUUAAUAGGAAAACAUUUUUAAUUGUAAAAUCUUUUUAAUACAAAAAUUCAUUUAAAAUCUUUAUAAUAAAUACAAAUAUAAAAUUAAAAAAAUAUCAUAAUUUAAAUUUUUUAAAAUUAUUUAAAUAUUAAAAAUACUUUAAUAUUAUUAGUCUACUACAUAAAAUAUAUUAUUUAUAUUAUAUUCGUAUUGAUUAAAACGUUUUAAAGUCAAAUUUUUAAUUAGUGUAUUCAAAGAUACAAAAGAUUUUAGUAUUAUUUUUAAAAAAUUUCAGGAUAUGAAUGAUAAUUUUUUCAAAUUUUAAAGAUGUAAGAAUCUUUUUUUCUGAUAAUUUAUUUCACUUUUGAGAGAAUCCGAAAACGUUAAUUUAACAUUCUUUACCUUUGUGAAAAAAGUGAAAAUCAAGAACUAUUCAAUUUUGUUUUUAUUUGUAAUUCAAAAACUUUAUUCAUUUUCGAUGCUUUUCAAAAGAGACUCCUCUAAAUCCUUUUGGUGUCUGCAGCUCCUGCAAUUCUCAUAAAUCUCCAUCCCACAUCUACACUAUCAAACAAGUUGAUGGAAAUUCUUAUCAAAAAAAAAAAAAAAAACAAGUCGAUGGAAAUUGAUCAAUUACUUUUUGAAGUGGACCCAUUGAGUCAUGUUCAUUUCUGGUCAUUGUCUACUCUUUCCAUCAGCCAUUUAUUUUGACCAUUUGCGAUCUUAAAGGAUAUGAGAACGUAGCUGAAGUGCUGAAGGGGCUAUUAAAGAAGAGUGUCACUUGAUCACAAUCACAUUGAUGCACAACUCACUCGUGGCAAAUUUCGACUAUACGUUCUGCAAAUUCAGCCAAACCAUACAUGCAUGAACAAAACUAAAAUGUAGUUCUAAUCACAACUGCAGUUAUAAUGUUUACCCCUCUGAUUUUUCUCCAAAACAAAUUCAGUUCAAAACAAUAAUUAAAUAGCCACAUUUUGUUCGUCAAAAUAAAUGCCCAAAUUUUCAAUUAACAAAUCAUCUUCUCUAAACUAAAAAUCCCACAUCUCUAAAAUCAAUCUACAUAAUGUUGGAGAUGAGGGGUGAAUUGUUAACUCAGUAAAAAAAACUCAUGCAUAAUAUUACUAAUAAUAUAAAAUAUAUAUUAAUCAUUAUAAAGAAUCAUAAUUAGAAAAAUUAAUCAUUUUAUAAUUUAUUACACAAGUAAGAUAAAUCUCAUAAUAAGUUAUAACAUAAAAAAAACGUUAUCAAUAUAUAAUCAUUUAAGAAGUCAUUUAACAAUAAAAUCGUUCUUUAAUCAGUUGGUCAUGUCACAUAGUGUCAUCUAUAUUUACGGUGAUAAUAUUAUUACUCAGUAUUAUCAAAAAACAUGAUUUAACAUUUAGAGGAAAUUCUUGCCUUUUAAAAAAAACAUGUAUGCAACAACUACCCAUGCUUUAUCUUACCAUGACAAAUAUUUUCUCAAUGAAAGAAAAUUUUUUAAAAAUUGAUUUAAUGCACAAAUAUGAUGAUUUUUCCAAAAAUUAGUUUUGGAAAACAUAGUGAGAGAAAAUAGUGACGAUUAUUGUUUAGAUGUAUAAAUAGCCUAAACAUAAUCCUUAAUACCAAUAUCCUAAUGCAUCUUAUCAUCUUUCAUGAUAUUCUUUCAUUUAUGUCCAUUGGUUCAAGAUUUGAAUUUGAUCAUUAAAUCAUGUUCAAUAAUAUUAGAGAUUCUAACAAAUGAGUACCAACUUAAAUCCCAAUGUUAUGUGUCAUUGACCAAUUUUGUGUCAUUUUGUUAUUAACUAGGUGAUGAAUUUGUAGUUGAUAAAAUCACUUAAAAAUAUCUUAAAAAUCAAACAAUAGUUUGCUUAAUUUUUCCAAGUUAACUGCUCAAGAUGCUCUAUUAUAAAUAAUAACCUAAUUAUAUUCAUAAAAAAUGAUAUUUUUUUUGUGGUGUUGAUAAUGAGAUUAUCAUUCAACAUUUUAAAAUGUGAAAACAUAUGGAAGAUGGUUGUAAAUUGAUUGAAUGAAAACAUUUCAGUGAAGUCUCAAAAAUUUGGUACUUGUUGUCUUAUCGAAAGUUUUCUAAAUUAUAUUCGUGGCACAGCCACUAUCCAAACCAUACAAGUCCAAAGCUAUCCAAACCAUACCUGCAAGUCCGGGGCUUAAAUGGAGUACUUCUAAGCAAAAAAACAUUGACUAAAAUAGAAUAUAUACAUACAGACACACAUACAUACCAGCAUAUUCAAAAUAGCAAAAGGAGUGCAAAAGUUCAAGUUUGUAGACAACAUUGCAACCAUAGCAUGUUUAUAGCAAAUCCUCAAAAUCUGCUAAAUAAAACAAUGCCCUGUCUCAUGAAUCAAUGCUGAAUUAAAAUUGAAACUGAAAGUCUGGAUGGUUUUGUUUGUUGAGAAUGUCAAAUAAAACGGCAUUGAAGGAAGUUUUCAAAGGCAGAAUCCGCACUUGUCAAAGGGAUGAUCUGCACUUGUCAAAGACACUAUCCGCGCCGAACGGAUCGACACAUUUCCUUCCGUAUUCACAUAUGUAAUCUUUGAAAAAAUAUAGCUUCUGCAUCUAUAAAUAACGCUCAGUGUAUAAUGUUUUAUUCAAGAAAUAAAAACAAGUUUCUACAUGGUAUCAGAGCCAUGAAUGCGCUCAAGUUUCUUCAAGUUUCGCUGCUCUGUUUGUCACAAAAACAGAGGAAACCAAUUAAAUUCGUCCCACAACCAUUUUUUCCACCAUUUUCUUCCUUAAAAUCAUUCCUAACAUUACAGAAAUCCAUGCCGAUCAAAAAACAUGAAAGACAAAUUACACAUGUGCAGUAACCAAUGAUCAUAUUUCGUUACUGUCAAACACAAUGCAUCUGAGCAAAACAUUGGAAGCCAACACCAGAAUACAUAUGAAUAAACAAUUAAAGAUAGAGAAAAAAGGCUUAAACCUUGGGGGGAAAAAGUGAAAAAACAUGAAAGACAAAUUACACAUGUGCAGUAGCCAUCGAACUUAUCAGUGACAGCUGCAUCCAUUACAUUGCUCCAACAACACAAUGGCAAACCACCAGUUUCAAAUUGAGGAUAGCUAUCGAGAAUGAGAAAGUGUCCAAAACGUCAUAAAUAGACAUGUUCCGAUUGUGCAUAAUUUACAUUAUAGGCAAAUAUUCUUAUACCAUCAAAGGCAAAACAUGACACUAACAAUUGAUCACCCCCCCCCCCCCCCCCCCAACAACAAAAAAAAGGAAAAAAACAAUACAGAAAAGAUUGAAACAGAUAAGGCUACACUGAGCACAGGAUGCCAUGAAACAUAAUCCAGGAACCAAAUUAAUAAAAAAGGAAGCCAAACCAUUAUUUAACAAUCUGUUUUGUAUUUGGGAAAGUCUGAUAAAAUCUACUUGGGGAUAAUUAGAGAACCUCAACUAUUAAUCACACCUCAUAAAUGAACUAACAUUAAACAUCUACCAUCCCAACGUCACACAAACAUUCUCUACACUUCUGAACCUAAUACUUCCAUCUUCAAUUGGGGUUUUUUUUUCUUUUUCUUUGGGGGGGGGGGGGGGGGGGAUUGAAAUGCUGAUUUCGAAUCACUAACAGUAAAAUUGGAAGCUCAUGAAAAAAUAGUUUUAUCUCAAAAUUACAUCUCGAUAUAAAUUCUCUUUUCAUUUCCUUCAACUUUCUAAUUAAGCUUAAAAAAUGUACCUUCAACCACAAAGGGGUUUAAAAUUUAAAAUAUAAAAAAUAAAUUCAGAUAACAAUAAUUAAUUUAAUUAAAAAUAUAAAUAGAGUUACAGAGAAAGAGAAAAUAGAGAAAGACGUAAUGUUGAGUCCUUUGGCGCAAGUCUCUUCAUAGGUCCGAACCAUUUCUUCGGGCGUGGGUUUCGGGUCUUUAGGAUACUCCAUAGUGAUAAGCCAGUGAUUGUAAUCGCAACCCUCGAACAGAAUCGUGUCGGGUGUGAUCUCGUCGCCGUCCUUAUACAAGUGGUACGUCUUGUUAACCGACGGCGUAGACGAGAGGGAGAUCGUCGGGGACGAUCUGAACGGCCGAGAUUGGAUAAUGAUGGAGGAGGAGAAGAUUAGCGAUGACGACGCCGAUGAAAUGGAAGGGUUUACCAGAGGAGUGGAUGCGAAGAAUGCAGGGACGGCCGCAAAGAGAGAGCGGCGGAGAGCGGCGACGGACGGUAGUGACCAGCGGAGGCGGAAAAUGGCGGUAUGGGCCAUUGCUUGCGCGUCGGUGAGUGUCUCGAGUGAGAGAGUGAAGGGUUUUGGGAAAUGAAAAAUGCAAAUGUUUGAUUUUGUUGCUAGAAACUUCUUCUGCCGCUGCCUUUUAUUUUCGCUAUAAUAAUAAUAAUUUGUUAAUCAAAUAUUUUCUUAAAAAAGAUAAAUUUCUACAACAAAAUUUAUAUUAAAUCAAAUUGUAAAAAUGUCUAUUAGGGUUAAUUUCUCCUUAAUAUUAUUAUUAGUAGAUGUAGAUUUUCGAAUUAGUCUUGAUAUAUUUCAGAGUUGUAUUAUAAAUGUAUAUGUAUCUGGAUUGCAAUUAUAUUUUUAAAAAAUAUAAUUUUUUUAAUUAUUGCACAAUAAAUGUAAAUAGUAUCUAUAAAAUAAUAUUAUUAGGACUACGAAAAAAAUAUUAUUUUAGAGAAGUUAUUUAUUUAUUAUUGAAUGAAUAAAAAAAUUAGUUUGGCAUUUUUAUAACCUCCUUGAAGGUUUUACGAUAAACAUAAAUCUACUGAGAAAGUGGGAAAAAAAAAAGAAAAUGCAUAUAAAAGUAUGAGUUAUCAGAUAAGAUUAAAACUCACCCAAUUCAAUCCAUCAGAUUCCGUAAGGAUAUAACUGGAUGUCAUACCGCCACUCCAUAUCCUCGAAAGUCCGUAGUCCUUGUCUCAACUGUGUCUGAGGCCAGUGUAAGUCCAAUUUGCGCAAGCUCUUUAUGCACCACAGCUCUUCUGGAAGCUUUCUCAAGUAAGCACAUGGGUUGACAAUUAAGCUUUCAAGUUUCGGCAUUGCUCCAGCCCCCAUCGUCCACUCAUCUAGCCAAUACAUUGAUUUCAGGUGCAAAACCUUAAGUUCGGGAAAGCUACUCAAGCCAACACAAGCAAGCUUUCUUCCUAAAUACGAGUUCUGCUUCAGUUUCAGCACUCGAAGGCGUGGAAGAUUUUCCAGAAUUGGCAUGGGAUCCUCCAUUAGCUCAGUAUUUGAUAAGCUCAGUUGGAUCAGACUUGGGGGAAAUUGGUAUUCAGACAGGACCAUCCGUGAGGGCUUGCUCUCAUUCACCAGCUUCAAGCAUUCAAGUUUGUGGAGUUCGCAAAGGCUUUUGGAAACCCCAGAUUGAUAGUAACUCAAAUCUCCAGAUAUCCGAAGAGUCUGAACACUAGGUAGUCUGCCCAAUAUAUCAGGAGUACAACUGCUACGGUUUAAAGCUGAUAUGAAAAUGAGAUUUUUCAGAGAGCUAGAAUAAUUUUUUGGAGGUGCGGGCAGAGUGAUAGAACCAAAGUUUAGAUGCAUGAGUUUUUGCAUCAUCCAAAUAUCCUCUGGUGACUGAUCUAUGUAGCUAAAUGGCAUUUCUAGUGUUUCAAGGUUUAAAAGGGUGCAUAGCAGUGAAGGAAGACAUUUGAGCGAAGGGAUAUUCAAUUUCAAAUACUUCAAAAGAUAUAAAUUUUCUAAUCCGGGCGGAUAUUGGUCCAGGACUGCAGAACCCAUGUUCAAUACCCGAAGGUGUUUGAACUUUUUACAAAAAUUCUCGCAAUCUAUCAGAGCGAGACGAUCGCUUUCUGAACUGUGAUUCAGAAAAGAUUGGAGACGCAUGUCAGAAUAUUCUAAAGGAAAGAAGUCAAUCAGACGUUCCACAAUGAAGCACCGUUUAACAUUUGCCACUGAUUCCUCUUCCAUGUCAGGCGUCCAGACAAAUCCCGCCUUCUUUGCCAGAAAAUACAAUGAAGUGUAUACAAAACUUGGAACAUAACACGCUUUAAUUGUGCCGCCGGCGCUUCUCUUACUCACUUGAAUGAAGCCGCGAUGGAUUAGUUCUUUCAAGAAAUGGUCGGCAGUUUCUUCACCGUUGUAUGGUACGAAACCUUCAGCUACCCACAACUGAUGUAAUUGCCUCCUGGAUAUCUCAAUACUUGGAGGGAAGACACACAAAUAGAUGAAGCAGACUUUCAAAUGAAAAGGUAACUCCAUCACAGAAAAAAUUUGUCUCCAAACUGUCGGAAUCGCUUCGCCUUGAAGAUAAUUUUCUAAUGGCAUACUUCCAUAGUGUAGGAUGAAAAAUUGCCAGGCUUCAUGCUUUAAUCUGAUCAAUGGUCCUCCAAAGAGCACUGAAUCACGCCGAAUCUUCUCUCCGUUUUCCAUUUCCAACGACGCAAGGAGGUCUGGAUUAGUGACUGUUAUCAAUACUCUGCUUCCAUUCUGCUUAUCAGGAAGAACUUCUUCAAGAUCAUCCCAUAUGUCACUGUCAUUGAAGACAUCAUCAAGCACAAUAAAGUACUUCUUGUUUGUCAGGUAAUCUCGAAGAAUAGAUUUCUUCAAGCGAUAAUCUUCACUGAUAAUUACCCUAGCCCGAGAUGGAGGCAUCAAAGAAUUGAUUAUGUCAUCCAAUAUCUUGCCAAAAUCGUAGGCUAUAGAAACCCUGACCCAAGAAAGACAGUCAAAAUAGAACUUGACAUGGUUAUUAUUGUAAGUAUCUGCAGCAAAAGCAGUCUUAUCGAAGCCACUGCUGUCGAGAAUUGCAACCACUGAAAGCCCAGAUGGUCCCUCAAUCAAUAGAUCAAAAAACUUCUCUCUGCCCCUUUCAAAUUCACUGAUAUCGAGCCGAGGUUGUCCCUCAUUCAAUAGGCGAAUGAUUUCGUUACUUUUUUCACUGAUAUCAAAACCAUUGUCGCCGGGUGGAAGUUGUUGCAUCCGAUUUCUAAUAUCAAUGAUUUUAGUGUGGAGUCCAACAAGAAGAGCCAUAUCAGUACUGCUUUCACUUUCGUUUUCACUGUUUUGCUGCUGCAUUAUGUUGAUGAAGAAUCUGUCAAUGGCUUCCUCAGAUUCAUGGACAACGGGAUUGAUGUCCUCCAGAAUUUCCAAAAUAUCUGCUGUUUCAACGUCUUCUUUAUCGCUUUCUUCUAAGUCCAACAGUUGCAAAAAAGGCAAUGAUAUUUUGGAGUCAUCGAAUUCUUCUCUAAUGAGUUGAAACAAAUGCCGAGCCAUGUCAGCUUCAUAUUUUCCCAGCAGAGUAGUAGCAAUAAUUUCGGACUCCGUAAGAAGGUUUUGAAAAAGUGGAGUUAAAUUUGUUGAAUCAGGCAAAGUUAACGUGCCUUCUUCACCUGCUAACACCCUUUUCAACCUCACACAAAACAGUCGGAGGUGGAGUUCCAGCAUAUCUCCUUCUCUCCGCAGCACUCAGAGGUAUAGUUGAAAGAUUAAACACCAUGGAAGAAUUUGAAAGGAAUAUGCCAAGAAACUGUGUAAGUGGCUAAAUUCCACAAAUGCGGCAUUAUUGCUCAUUUUUAACUCAAAAAAUUGAUACGCGUUCAUUUAGAGAAAAGUCCAAGACGCGUGCCUUUUGAAAAGAACAGGUAUCCCAAUCGGUAUCCAACCUCUAUCUUAUUUAAUUACUAUCAUGACAUAAUUGAUGGUGCUUAAAUCAAUUGUUUCUUUUUUAAUUUAAAGAAUUUUUCAUUAAAAAAAUAUUUUAAUAUCAAAUUGCCUUCAGUGGCGUAACUGCCUCAAGCCCAGUAACAGGACUAAUUAAAGAUUUUACAAUUUUUGGGCAUGGAAAUAGUAGUAUUAAAUAUUAGAAAGGUGAGGUUGUUCUGUUAAAGAAUUGAUCUUGACAUAAUUUUAUUUUGGUUUUCGUGGAAAAAUAAAAUUUGUUGACAAGCAAGAAAAUAUUUUUAUAUUUUAAAAUUUAUUAUGCAUAUUUUAUCAUAUUAAAGUAGUUUUAAUAAUAAAUAGAAACAUAAUAUUACGAUAAAUAAAUUAAAAUUUAACUUAUUUUGAAUAUUAUAAAAAAAAUUUUAAUAUUAUUAAUAGGAAGACAUUGUAUUAAUUUUAAAAUUUUUUAACCCAAAGGUUUAUUUAAAAUCUUUAUUAUAAAUACAAAUAUAAAAUUAAAUAUCAUAAUUUAAAAAUUUUAAUAUUAUUUUAAGUAUUAAAAAUAUUUUAAUGUUAUUAGUCUACUACAUAGAUCAUAUUACUUAUAUAAUAUUUGUAUUAUUAAAAAUUCUUAAAAUCAAAUUUUUAGUUAGUAUAUUCAUGAGGUAUUAUGGUUAAAAAAAAAAAAGACCUUAUUAUUACUUUUUAAAAAAUUGAGGGUCUGCGUGAUAAUUUUUUCAAAAAGAAAAUGCUUGGUAUGUAGGAGGGGUAGAGAAACAGGACUCCCAAAAUCUCUCACCCUUCUUUAAUUAAAAAUAAAUAAAAUAUUAAUAAAAAAUAAUAAAGAAAAUAGAAUUUUAUCUGCUCCUUACUCCAUUUUUGUAACUCUCUCACCAUCUCUGUCGAGCAGCCCUCUCUUUCGUUGUCUCUCACUAUUUCACGAUCUCUCUCUCACUCACACAGUCCUUUAAAAAAGCCCAAAAUAGGCCCAAUAAGCCCAUAAUUAAAAUAAUCGAAUCGAAUUAUUUUAAUUAAUCGAGUAUUUGAUUAUUUCGGUAAUUUAAUUAAUCGCAAUUAUGAUUUUAAAAUAAUCGUAAUCGAACGAUUAUGAAAAAUUUAGUAAAAAAACCGAACUGAACCGAACCGCACCCACCCCUACAUAAAAGAACAUCAAUUACUUGUCAUUUUCAAUUUUUUCUAUAAGCUAUUUAUUUUGAGCAUUAGUGAUCUUGUCUGGACUACUCCAAUUAUUGACGUAACUCCAGUGGCUGCAUCCACUGGAAAAAGUGGAUGAUAACAUUUUUUUUUUUUUCAUAAAGGUAACUACUCCAAUUAUUGACAUAAUUGAUGGUGCUUAAAUCAAUUUUUUUUUUAAUUUAAAGAAUUUUGCUUUAAAAAAUAAUUAAUAUCAAAAUGCCUUCAAUGUUGUUACCGCCACAAGCCCAGUUAGAGGACUCAUUAAAACUUUUAGAAUUUUUAGGCCUGGAAAGCAUAGUAUUAAACAUCAGAAAGCAAAGGUUGUUAUGUCGAAGAAUUGAUGUCGACAAAAUUUUAUUUUAGUUUUCGGAAAAAAAAAAUUUGUUGACAAGCAAGAAAAUAUUUUUUAUACUUUACAAUCUGCUAUACAUAUUUUAUCAUAUUAAAGUAAUUUUAAUAAUAUAUGGAAACAUAAUAUUAUAAUAAAUAAAUUAAAAUUAAAAUUACUUUGAAUUAUUAAAUAUUACAAAAAGAUAAUUUUAAUAUUAUUAAUAGGAAAACAUUUUUAAUUGUAAAAUCUUUUUAAUACAAAAAUUCAUUUAAAAUCUUUAUAAUAAAUACAAAUAUAAAAUUAAAAAUAUCAUAAUUUAAAAUUUUUAAUAUUAUUUUAAUAUUAAAAAUACUUUAAUAUUAUUAGUCUACUACAUAAAAUAUAUUAUUUAUAUUAUAUUCGUAUUGAUUAAAACGUUUUAAAGUCAAAUUUUUAAUUAUUGUAUUCAAAGGUACAAAAGAUUUUAGUAUUAUUUUUUAAAAAUUUUAGGAUAUGAAUGAUAAUUUUUUCGAAUUUUAAAGAUGUAAGAAUCUUUUUUUCUAAUAAUUUAUUUCACUUUUGAGAGAAUCCGAAAACGUUAAUUUAACAUUCUUUACCUUUGUGAAAAAAGUGAAAAUCAAGAACUAUUCAAUUUUGUUUUUAUUUGUAAUUCAAAAACUUUAUUCAUUUUCGAUGCUUUUCGAAAGAGAUUCCGUUAAAUCCUUUUGGUGUCGGCAGCUCCUGCUAUUCUCAUAAAUCUCCAUUCCACAUCUACACUAUCAAACAAGUUGAUGGAAAUUCUUAUAAAAAAAAAACAAGUCGAUGGAAAUUGAUCAAUUACUUUUUGAAGUGGACCCAUUGAGUCAUGUUCAUUUCUGGUCAUUGUCUACUCUUUCCAUCAGCCAUUUAUUUUGACCAUUUGCGAUCUUAAAGGAUAUGAGAACGUAGCUGAAGUGCUGAAGGGGCUAUUAAAGAAGAGUGUCACUUGAUCACAAUCACAUUGAUGCACAACUCACUCGUGGCAAAUUUCGACUAUACGUUCUGCAAAUUCAGCCAAACCAUACGUGCAUGAACAAAACUAAAAUGUAGUUCUAAUCACAACUCCAGUUAUGAUGUUUACCCCUCUGAUUUUUCUCCAAAACAAAUUCAGUUCAAAACAAUAAUCAAAAUAGCCACAUUUUGUUCGUCAAAAUAAAUGCCCAAAUUUUCAAUUAACAAAUCAUCUUCUCUAAACUAAAAAUCCCACAUCUCUAAAAUCAAUCUACAUAAUGUUGGAGAUGAGGGGUGAAUUGUUAACUCAGUAAAAAAAACUCAUGCAUAAUAUUACUAAUAAUAUAAAAUAUAUAUUAAUCAUUAUAAAGAAUCAUAAUUAGAAAAAUUAAUCAUUUUAUAAUUUAUUACACAAGUAAGAUAAAUCUCAUAAUAAGUUAUAACAUAAAAAAAACGUUAUCAAUAUAUAAUCAUUUAAGAAGUCAUUUAACAAUAAAAUCGUUCUUUAAUCAGUUGGUCAUGUCACAUAGUGUCAUCUAUAUUUACGGUGAUAAUAUUAUUACUCAGUAUUAUCAAAAAACAUGAUUUAACAUUUAGAGGAAAUUCUUGCCUUUUAAAAAAAAACAUGUAUGCAACAGCUACCCAUGCUUUAUCUUACCAUGACAAAUAUUUUCUCAAUGAAAGAAAAUUUUUUAAAAAUUGAUUUAAUGCACAAAUAUGAUGAUUUUUCCAAAAAUUAGUUUUGGAAAACAUAGUGAGAGAAAAUAGUGACGAUUAUUGUUUAGAUGUAUAAAUAGCCUAAACAUAAUCCUUAAUACCAAUAUCCUAAUGCAUCUUAUCAUCUUUCAUGAUAUUCUUUCAUUUAUGUCCAUUGGUUCAAGAUUUGAAUUUGAUCAUUAAAUCAUGUUCAAUAAUAUUAGAGAUUCUAACAAAUGAGUACCAACUUAAAUCCCAAUGUUAUGUGUCAUUGACCAAUUUUGUGUCAUUUUGUUAUUAACUAGGUGAUGAAUUUGUAGUUGAUAAAAUCACUUAAAAAUAUCUUAAAAAUCAAACAAUAGUUUGCUUAAUUUUUCCAAGUUAACUGCUCAAGAUGCUCUAUUAUAAAUAAUAACCUAAUUAUAUUCAUAAAAAAUGAUAUUUUUUUUGUGGUGUUGAUAAUGAGAUUAUCAUUCAACAUUUUAAAAUGUGAAAACAUAUGGAAGAUGGUUGUAAAUUGAUUGAAUGAAAACAUUUCAGUGAAGUCUCAAAAAUUUGGUACUUGUUGUCUUAUCGAAAGUUUUCUAAAUUAUAUUCGUGGCACAGCCACUAUCCAAACCAUACAAGUCCAAAGCUAUCCAAACCAUACCUGCAAGUCCGGGGCUUAAAUGGAGUACUUCUAAGCAAAAAAACAUUGACUAAAAUAGAAUAUAUACAUACAGACACACAUACAUACCAGCAUAUUCAAAAUAGCAAAAGGAGUGCAAAAGUUCAAGUUUGUAGACAACAUUGCAACCAUAGCAUGUUUAUAGCAAAUCCUCAAAAUCUGCUAAAUAAAACAAUGCCCUGUCUCAUGAAUCAAUGCUGAAUUAAAAUUGAAACUGAAAGUCUGGAUGGUUUUGUUUGUUGAGAAUGUCAAAUAAAACGGCAUUGAAGGAAGUUUUCAAAGGCAGAAUCCGCACUUGUCAAAGGGAUGACCUGCACUUGUCAAAGACACGAUCCGCGCCGAACGGAUCGACACAUUUCCUUCCGUAUUCACAUAUGUAAACUUUGAAAAAAUAUAGCUUCUGCAUCUAUAAAUAACGCUCAGUGUAUAAUGUUUUAUUCAAGAAAUAAAAACAAGUUUCUACAUGGUAUCAGAGCCAUGAAUGCGCUCAAGUUUCUUCAAGUUUCGCUGCUCUGUUUGUCACAAAAACAGAGGAAACCAAUUAAAUUCGUCCCACAACCAUUUUUUCCACCAUUUUCUUCCUUAAAAUCAUUCCUAACAUUACAGAAAUCCAUGCCGAUCAAAAACAUGAAAGACAAAUUACACAUGUGCAGUAACCAAUGAUCAUAUUUUGUUACUGUCAAACACAAUGCAUCUGAGCAAAACAUUGGAAGCCAACACCAGAAUACAUAUGAAUAAACAAUUAAAGAUAGAGAAAAAAGGCUUAAACCUUGGGGGAAAAAGUGAAAAAACAUGAAAGACAAAUUACACAUGUGCAGUAACCAUCGAACUUAUCAGUGACAGCUGCAUCUAUUACAUUGCUCCAACAACACAAGGGCAAACCACCAGUUUCAAAUUGAGGAUAGCUAUCGAGAAUGAGAAAGUGUCCAAAACGUCAUAAAUAGACAUGUUCCUAUUGUGCAUAAUUUACAUUAUAGGCAAAUAUUUUUAUACCAUCAAAGGCAAAACAUGACACUAACAAUUGAUCACCCCCCCCCCCCCCCCCCCCAACAACAAAAAAAAGGAAAAAACAAUACAGAAAAGAUUGAAACAGAUAAGGCUACACUGAGCACAGGAUGCCAUGAAACAUAAUCCAGGAACCAAAUUAAUAAAAAAGGAAGCCAAACCAUUAUUUAACAAUCUGUUUUGUAUUUGGGAAAGUCUGAUAAAAUCUACUUGGGGAUAAUUAGAGAACCUCAACUAUUAAUCACACCUCAUAAAUGAACUAACAUUAAACAUCUACCAUCCCAACGUCACACAAACAUUCUCUACACUUCUGAACCUAAUACUUCCAUCUUCAAUUGGGGGUUUUUUUUUUCUUUUUCUUUGGGGGGGGGGGGGGAUUGAAAUGCUGAUUUCGAAUCACUAACAGUAAAAUUGGAAGCUCAUGAAAAAAUAGUUUUAUCUCAAAAUUACAUCUCGAUAUAAAUUCUCUUUUCAUUUCCUUCAACUUUCUAAUUAAGCUUAAAAAAUGUACCUUCAACCACAAAGGGGUUUAAAAUUUAAAAUAUAAAAAAUAAAUUCAGAUAACAAUAAUUAAUUUAAUUAAAAAUAUAAAUAGAGUUACAGAGAAAGAGAAAAUAGAGAAAGACGUAAUGUUGAGUCCUUUGGCGCAAGUCUCUUCAUAGGUCCGAACCAUUUCUUCGGGCGUGGGUUUCGGGUCUUUAGGAUACUCCAUAGUGAUAAGCCAGUGAUUGUAAUCGCAACCCUCGAACAGAAUCGUGUCGGGUGUGAUCUCGUCGCCGUCCUUAUACAAGUGGUACGUCUUGUUAACCGACGGCGUAGACGAGAGGGAGAUCGUCGGGGACGAUCUGAACGGCCGAGAUUGGAUAAUGAUGGAGGAGGAGAAGAUUAGCGAUGACGACGCCGAUGAAAUGGAAGGGUUUACCAGAGGAGUGGAUGCGAAGAAUGCAGGGACGGCCGCAAAGAGAGAGCGGCGGAGAGCGGCGACGGACGGUAGUGACCGGCGGAGAGCGGAAGAUGGCGGUAUGGGCCAUUGCUUGCGCGUCAGUGAGUGUCUCGAGUGAGGAGUGAAGGGUUUUGUACUUUUGUUUAGGGUUUUGGGAAAUGAAAAAUGCAAAUGUUUGAUUUUGUUGCUAGAAACUUCUUCUGCCGCCGCUUUUUAUUUUCGCUAAAUAAUAAUAAUAAUUUGUUAAUAAAAUACUUUCUUAGAAAAGAUAAAUUUAUAGAACAAAAUUUAUAUUAAAUCAAAUUGUAAAAAUGUGGAAUAGGGCUAAUUUCUCCUGAAUAUUAUUAUUAGUAGAAGUAGAUUUUCGAAAUAGUCUUGAUAUAUUUCAAAGUUGUAUUAUAGAUGUACAUGUAUCUGGAUUGUAAUUAUAUUUUAAAAAAUAUACAUUUUUUUUCAUUAUUGCACAAUAAAUGUAGAAAGUGUCUAUAAAAUAAUAUUAUUAGAACUAUGAAAAUAUAUUAUUUUAGAGUAGUUAUUUAUUUAUUUUUGAAUAAAUAAUUUAUUAAUUUAUUAAUUUAUUGAUAAAUUAAUAAAUAUUAAUUUAAAGAGAGAUUUUUUUUUUUGGGGGUUUUUAAGAAGAGUUUUGUUGGUAUAUGUACAAACUUAUAAAGAAAUACAAAAAAUGCUUCCUCAAGUCAAUAGUAUUUACUUUAAUUCAUAAUAGUAUAGUUUAAUCAAGAAACUUAUAAUUAUACUAUAUCUUUCUUUCUUUGUUCUAUUUGGUGGGACAUUGUGAUAAAUCAUUGGAUUAAAAUGCAUUUCUAAAUGAAAACUUGUUAAAACCUAAUUUAUUUGGGAACGACAUUUUAUUUGUCAGUCGUAUUUCUCAACUUCGUAAGUUAUUUCUAAUUUAUCGGUCUCUAUUGGUUCUCUUAAGUACCUAUUUGGCAUGACUUAUUUAAUAGUAAUAAGUGCUUAUUUAAUCUCAUAAGUUUUUUCCCUCUCUGACAAUUGAGUUAGGGGGUCAAACUUGAAAGUAUCUUAAAAUUAGACAACAAUUUAACUAUUUUUUUUUUUUUAGAUAACUGCUAAUAUGCUCUAUUAGACAAUGAUGAGUGAUAACCUAGGUGUUUGCAUUUAAAGGGAUACUUUUUGUGGUGUUGAUAAAGAGGUUAAGUAUGAUUCAACAAUUUAAAAUAUGAAAACAUAUGGAAGACGGCCGCAAUUAAAUUAAUUGUAUGAAAAUAUUUCAAUGAAAUUUUAAAAAUUUAGUAUUUGUUAUCUUAUCGAGAGUUUUUUAAAAUUAUAUUACUACUUGAACUUGACUGCUUUUGUAUUUAAUUCCUACCGUUGCCAUUGCUUCUACUCAAAAGCCAUUUAAGUUUGUGUAAGCUACGUAUAGUUUGAACAACAAUUUACUCAUGAAUUGUUGUUCAUAAUAGCAUCAGUGCAUGCAUCAUUUUAAUGAGAAAGAAUAUUCUAAGAACGAAAUUGAACGUGGGAGGUAUCGGGAAGGAAUUGGAAUGGAAUAAUAUCGAUUCAUAUAGAUACAGAAGAAAAAGUUCUCUAUUGAUUCAAAUGCUGUGCCUAUGGGAUAAGGAUAGAGAAAGAGGAAAAAACCGAAGCCAGAAAUGUACACGCAUGAGGAACUUUUCCUAGAAGAUUGAUAUUUCUUUGACUAGCAAACCAUACAAGUCCAAAGCUAGCCAAACCAUACCUGCAAGUCGGGGGUUUAAAUGGAAUACUUCUAAGCAUAAAACAUUGAUUAAAACAGAAUACACACAUACAUACCAGCAAAUUCAAAAUAGCAAAAGGAGUGCAAAAGUUCAAGUUUGUAGACAACAUUGCAACCAUGGCAUGUUUAUAGCAAAUCCUCGAAAUCUGCUAAAUAAAACAAUGCCCUGUCUCAUGAAUCAAUGCUGAAUUAAAAUUGAAACUGAAAGUCCGGCUGGCGUUGUUUCCCUCUCCAAUUUUGCCUACAUAAGUGAAAAUAAGAAUAAUAAAUGAAAAUCUGCUUUUACGGUUCUUAUUAGAUAGAUAAAAGGGGGAUCUUUCUUUGUUUCUCUGCUGCAAUGUGUGGCUAUCCCACUCUGUUUUGCCACCCAAGCUGAGUCUAUGCUGAGACAUAAUUUUGACAUCAGAAGCAAUCUCAAUUAGUUUGGCACUUUUAAGCAAUCUCAUAUUUUGCUCACUUGAAGGUUUUACGAUAAACAUAAAUCUACAGAGAAAGUGGGAAAAAAAAAAGAAAAUGCAUAUAAAUAUAUGAGUUAUCAGAUAAGAUUAAAACUCACCCAAUUCAAUCCAUCAGAUUCCGUAAGGAUAUAACUGGAUGUCAUACCGCCACUCCAUAUCCUUGAAAGUCCGUAGUGUUUGUCUCAACUCUGUCUGAGGCCAAUGUAAAUUCAAUUUGCGCAAGCUCUUUAUGCACCACAGCUCUUCUGGAAGCUUUCUCAAGUAAGCACAUGGGUUGACAAUUAAGCUUUCAAGUUUCGGCAUUGCUCCAGCCCCCAUCGUCCACUCAUCUAGCCAAUACAUUGAUUUCAGGUGCAAAACCUUAAGUUCCGGAAAGCUACUCAAGCCAACACAAGCAAGCUUUCUUCCUAAAUACGAGUUCUGCUUCAGUUUCAGCACUCGAAGGCGUGGAAGAUUUUCCAGAAUUGGCAUGGGAUCCUCCAUUAGCUCAGUAUUUGAUAAGCUCAGUUGGAUCAGACUUGGGGGAAAUUGGUAUUCAGACAGGACCAUCCGUGAGGGCUUGCUCUCAUUCACCAGCUUCAAGCAUUCAAGUUUGUGGAGUUCGCAAAGGCUUUUGGAAACCGCAGAUUGAUAGUAACUCAAAUCUCCAGAUAUCCGAAGAGUCUGAACACUAGGUAGUCUGCCCAAUAUAUCAGGAGUACAACUACUAGGGUUUAAAGCUGAUAUGAAAAUGAGAUUUUUCAGAGAGCUGGAAUAAUUUUUUGGAGGUGCGGGCAGAGUGAUAGAACCAAAGUUUAGAUGCAUGAGUUUUUGCAUCAUCCAAAUAUCCUCUGGUGACUGAUCUAUGUAGCUAGAUGGCAUUUCUAGUGUUUCAAGGUUUAAAAGGGUGCAUAGCAGCGAAGGAAGGCGUUUGAGCAAAGGGAUAUUCAAUUUCAAAUACUUCAAAAGGAAUAAAUUUUCUAAUCCGGGUGGAAAUUGGUCGAGAACUGCAGAACCGAAGUUCAGUACCCGAAGGUGUUUGAACUUUUUACAAAAAUUCUCGCAAUCUAUCACAGCGAGAUGAUCGCCUUCUAAACUUUGAUUGAUAAAAGAUUGGAGAUAGAUCUCACCAUGUUCUAAAGAAAUGAAGUCAGUCAGAUGUUCCAAAAUGAUGUAGCGUUUAACAUUUGCAAAUGGUUCCGCUUCCAUUCCAGGCAUCCAGAGAAAUUUCGUCUUGUCUGCCACCAAACCCAAUGAAGUAUAUACAAAACUUGGAACAUAGCAAGCUUUAAUUGUGCCGCCGGCUCUUCUCUUACUCACUUGAAUGAAGCCGCGAUGGAUUAGUUCUUUCAAGUAAUGUUCGGCAGUUUCUUCACCGUUGUAUGGUAUGAAACCUUCAGCUACCCACAACUGAUAUAAUUGCUCCGUAGAUAUCUCCAUACUUGGAGGGAAGACCAACAAAUAGAUGCAGCAGACCUUCAAGUGAAAAGGUAACUCCAUCACAGAAAAAAUUUGUCUCCAAACUGUCGGAAUCGCUUCGCCUUGAAGAUAAUUUUCUAAUGGCAUACUUCCAUAGUGUAGGAUGAAAAAUUGCCAGGCUUCAUGCUUUAAUCUUAUCAAUGGUCCUCCAAUGAGCACUGAAUCACGCCGAAUUUCCUCUCCAUUUUCCAUUUCCAACGACACAAGGAGGUCUGGUUCAGUGACUGUUAUCAAUACUCUGCUUCCAUUCUCAUCAUCAGGGAGAACUUCUUCCAGAUCAUCCCAUAUCUCACAGUCAUCGAAGACGUCAUCAAGCACAAUAAAAUACUUCUUGUUUGUUAGGUAAUCUCGAAGAAUAGAUUCCUUGAAUUGAUAAUCUUCACCGAUAAUUACACUAACCCGAGAUGGAGGCAUCACAGACUUGAUUAUGUCAUCCAAUAUCUUGCGAAAAUCGUAGAGUAGAGAAACCCUGACCCAAGCAAGACAGUCAAAAUAGAACUUGACAUAGUUAUUAUUGUAAGUAUCUGCAGCAAAAGCAGUCUUAUCGAAGCCACUGCUGUCGAGAAUUGCAACCACUGAAAGCCCAGAUGGUCCCUCAAUCAAUAGAUCAAACAACUCCUCUCUGCCCCUUUCAAAUUCACUGAUAUCAAGCCGAGGAUGUCCCUCAUUCAAUAGGCGAAUCAUUUCGUUACUUUUUUCACUGAUAUCAAAACCAUUGUCGCCGGGUGGAAGUUGUUGCAUCCGAUUUCUAAUAUCAAUGAUUUCACUGUGGAGUCCAUCAGGAAGAGCCAUAUUAGUGCUGCUUUCACUUUCGUUUUCACUGUUUUGCUGCUGCAUGAUGUUGAUGAAGAAUGUGUCAAUGACUUCCUCAGAGUCACGGACAAAGUUAUUGAUGUCCUUCAGAAUUUCAAAAAUAUCUGCUGUUUCAACGUCUUCUUCAUCGCUUUCUUCUAAGUCCAACAGUUGCAAAAAAGGCAAAGAUAUUUUGGAGUCAUCGAUAUCUUCUCUAAGGAGUUGAAUCAAAUGCCGAGCCAUGUCGGCUUCAUAGUUUCCCAGAAGAGUAGUAGCAAUAAUUUCGGACUCCGUAAGAAGGUUUUGAAAAAGUGGAGUUAAAUUUGUUGAAUCUGGCAGAGGCAACGUGCCUUCUUCACCUGCUAACACCCUUUUCAACCUCUCACAAAACAGUCGGAGGUGGACGUCCAGCAUAUCUCCUUCUCUCUGUAGCACCCAGAGGUAUUGUUUUUUGCUCCAAGAAAUAUUAAAAGGAUUGGUUCUAUCUAAAAGUGGUUACUGGUGUAAAAUUAAACGCCAUGGGAGAAUUUGAAAGGAAGAUGCCAAGGAACUGGCGAAGUGGCUAAAUUCCACAAAUACGGCAUUAUUGCUCAUUUUUAACUCAAAAAAUUGAUACGCCUUCAUUUAGCGAAAAGUCCAAGACGCUUGCCUUUUGAAAAGAAGAGGUAUCCAUAGAUAUCCAACAUUUAUCUUAUUUUAAUUACUACCACGACAUGAUUGAUGGUUGUUAAAUCAAUUGUUUCUUUUUUAAUUUAAAGAAAUUUUCAUUAAAAAAUAGUUUAAUAGACACAUAAUAUUACAAUAAAUAAAGUAAAGUUUAAAUUAUUUUGAAUAUUAUAAAAAAUAAUUUUAAUAUUAUUAAUAGGAAGACAUUUUGUUAAUUUUAAAAUCUUUUUAACCCAAAGGUUUAUUUAAAAUCUUUAUUAUAAAUACAAAUAUAAAAUUAAAUAUCAUAAUUUAAAAUUUUUAAUAUUAUUUUAAGUAUUAAAAAUAUUUUAAUGUUAUUAGUCUACUACAUAGAUUUUAUUAUUUAUAUUAUAUCUGUAUUGAUUAAAAUUUUUUAAAGUCAAUUUUUUAGUCAAUAUAUUCAAGAGGUAUUAUAGUUAAAGAAAAGAUUUUGGUGUUAUUUUUUGAAAAUUUUAAGGUUUAAAUGAUUUUUUUUUUAAUUUUAAGGAUGUGGGUAUUAUUUUUCCGACAAUUUAUUUUAUUUUUGGGGAAUCCGAUGAGAAAUAUCAUGAGAGAAGGUUAAUUUUACAUUCUUUACCUUUAUGAAAAAAGUGGAAACCAAGAACUAUUCAAUUUUGUAUUUUUUGUUUGUAAUUCAAAAAAUGCAUCCACCAAACAAGCUUAUCUUGAUUUUCCCACUUUAUUCAUUUUCGAUCCUUUAAUCCAUCUAGCAUCUGCAGCCCCCGCUAUUUUCACAAAGAGUAAUGAUACAGCCACAAAUUCUUGUACAAAUUUAUUUUGUAUAAACUGACGUGGCAUGAUAAGAUUGGUUGAAUUAAAUAUCACUUGGCCCACAUGAUUUGUUUUUAUUAUUUUAUAUUUUUAUUCAACCAAUGAAUUAAUGCCACGUCAGUUUGUACAAAAUAAAUUUGUACAAGAGUUUGUGGCUGUAUCAUUACUCUGUCAAGAAUCUCCAUCCCACAGCUACACUAUCAAACAAGUUGAUGGAAAUUGAACAAUUGCUUUUUGAAGUGGACCCAUUAGGUUAUGUUCAUUACUGGUCAUUGUCUAUUCUUUCUAAGAGCCACUUAUUUUGAGCAUUAGCGAUCCUAUCUGGACUACUCCAAUUAUUGAUGUAACUCCAAUGGUUGCAUCAACAGUUGAAUGUAAGAUAGUGUCAGUUCUUUUUUGAGAAUAUAGAGGGAUCUUUAUUUGUUUCUCCGUUGCAGCGUAUUAGUAUAAAUUUCUUGACCUUACAGUUCCUACAGUCUUCCUGUUAAUGAAUUCGCUGAGGCAUUAUUGAUCCAAUCUCAGUGAAGUAAUUGUGGGUGAAAAAAAAAUAAAGGAUAAGAGAACGUAGCUCAAGUGCUGAAUUGACUAUUAAAGAAGAGCGUCACCUGAUCACAAUCACAUUGAUGCACAACUCACUCGAGGCAAAUUUCAUCUAUAUAUACUGCAAAUUCAGCCAAGCCAUGCAUGCAUGAACAAAACUAAAAUGAAGUUCAUAAUCACAACUGUAAUUAGAGCUACAAAAGGUGGCAAACCAUACAUGCAUGAACAAAAUUAGACAUAAAUUGAAGCCACAACAUUAAUUGAAGCCACAAAAGCCAGCAAAUCCAAAUGAAAACUUAAAAGGAAGAUCUUAUCGAAGUUUGUCCCCAAAAGACAGCGGAAAUGAAAAAUAUUGACUAUCGAGUGGAUCAAUGCUGAAUUACAUUUGACCUGGAAAGCUUGGCUGCAGUUGCGAUGUUCCCCCUCUGAUUUUCCCUAAAACAAAUUCAGUUGUAAACAAUAACUGGAGUAGCAACAAUUUAUUCAUUAUAGAAAAUACCUAAAUUUUCAACUAUCAAAUCCUCUUGUCUAAACUAAAAAACUCAUAUCUCUAAAAUCUAUAUACAAAAUGUCAUAAAUGAGGGUGAUCUCUCAAUUCGGUAAACAAAUUCAUGCAUAAUAUUACCAAUAAUGAUAAAUUACAUAAUAAUUAUUAUAAAGAAUCAUAAAUUGGAAACAUUAAUCAUUUUAAAAUCUAUUACAUAAUAAAAAUAAAUCUUAUAAUAAGUUACGUUAGAACAUAACAAAUAUUUAAAAUGAUAUAUAUAAUUAUUUAAGAAGUCUUUUAACAAUAAUUUUUUUUUUCUUUUUCAGUUGAUCAUGUCAUAGCGUUAUCUAAAAUGCUAGCGAUAUCAUUAUUCCCCACUUUUCUCAAAAAAAAGAAAAAGAUAAAGAAAAAAGAAAUAUGAUUAACGUUUGGAGAAAAGUCAUGCCUUUUAAAAAGAAUAUGUAUACAAUACCAAUUCAUACUUUAUCUUACCAUAAAAAAAUUGUUUAAAAUAGAUUUAAUGCACAAAUAUGAUGACUUUUGGCAGAAAUGAGUUUCGGAAAUAUUGGGAUGAAAACCAUAUUGGUUCAGACUUAAAAUUACUUAAUAAAAUUACUUAACUACCAUUUAAUAAAUAAAAAUCAUAUUAGUUGAAAGUUAAAUUAAGAUUUAAAUGUUGAGAUAUCUAACGUUACUCAAUCAGAAUAAACAAUAAUCAAUUCAAAUUAUGACUAUCAUGUAGAAGCAAAUGUUUAUGCUUGGGUCUUUUACUUCUUGAAUUUGAUUGGAAAAAUUUCUGAGACAGGGAAGUGAGUGUUUUGGAUAAUAUUUUUCGGGAUUGAAACCACAAGUUGGUCGAGGAAAAUAAUUUUGGACAAAUUUUUAUUAUAUUGUAGAACCUUUUUGGUUCCUUUUGUGUCGGCAGCCCCUCACUAUUCUCUUAACCCUGAGUUUUGAGAUAGAAAUUUCCCGAACUCCAACCCCACAUCCACAGACAAGUUGAUUGAAACAAUUGCUCUUGUAAUUAAGAGGAUGAGUUAGGGUUCAGUUCUUAUCAUUGUCUGUUAUUUCUUUGAAUCAUUAUCUUAGUUAAUUACAUCAAUUGUUUCUUUUCUUAAUUUAAAGAAUUUUUCUUUUAAAAAAAUAUUUUAAUAUCAAAAUGCGUUAAAUGGUAUUACUGCCGCAAUCCCAGUAACAGGAUUAAUUAAAAAAAUAUUCUUAGGAAGAUAUUUUGUUUAUUGUAAAAUCUUUUUAACCCAAAGGUUUAUUUAAAAUCGUUAUAAUAAAUAAAAAUAUAAAAAAAAAUAAAUAUCAUAAUUUAAAAUUUUAAUAUUAUUUUAAAUAUUAAAAAUACUUUAAUGCUAUUAGUCUACUACACAGGUUAUAUUACUUAUAUUAUAUUUGUAUAAAUUAAAACUUUUAAAGUUAAAUUUUUAAUUACUAUAUUGAAAAGGUAUUAUGGUUAAAAAAAGUUUUGGCAUUUGUUUUUUGAAAAUUUGAGGGUCUGCAUGACAAUUUGUCCAAAUCCUAGAGGUAUAGGUGUCUUUUUUUUUCGAUAAUUCAUUUUACUUUUGAGGGAAUCCGAUGAGAAAUAAGAUAAGAGAAACGUCAAUUUAACGUUCUCUAGGGAAAACCAAGAACUAUUCAAUUUUGUAUUUUUUGUUUGUAAAACAAAAAACAGUUUGCCAAAAAAGGUACCAAACAUAUCCUUAAUGUCUCACAUGAUUUCUUAUUAAGUCCAUACUCGAUAUAUUUAUACAUUUUAGGUAUUUUAGUUAUAAAAGAAGUUGGUCCUCCCUCUGUUUAUAAAAGGUAACUUUAUUUCGAGAUUACCACUAAAGUCUUACAAAGAAUUAGUGUAAUGUUAAGAGAGACUAACACAGUUUUCCAUUACCAUUUUGAAAAUAGAAAGAUAUGGAUGUGUGCAUUUAAUGGUGCGUUUACUUGCCGGAUUGGGGAAUCAGAAUCUGGAAUCAGAAUGAUUGAUGGUGUUUACUUCACAAAUAUGGAGCAGGAAUCGGAAUUGGAAUGGUGGGGCCCACCACUAUUUGGGAAUGGGAGAUUGAUUCCCAUGGGGGAAGGUGGGAAUGAGUCUCUCAUUCCCUGGAUUGACCAUUUUGCCCUCCCUCAAAAUUAAAAAUGCCUACUUUGUCCUCUUUUAUAAUUAAUUAAUAUAAUAUUAUAAUUAAUUAAUUAAUAUAUAAAUAUUUUAUUAACUAUAAUUAUUAAAAAUUAUAGUUCUUGAAUAAAUAAUCACAAUAAUUAAUUUAUUAUUAUUAUUGUUAAUGAAUUAAUAUAAUUAUUACUAUUAAUUAAUAUAUUAAUAUAUUAUUAACAAUAAUAUAUUAAUAAUUAUUGUUCGUGAAUAAAUAAUCACAAUAAUUAAUAUAUUAUUAUUGAAAUUAAUUAAUUAAUAUACUAUUAUAAUAAUUAUUAUAAUUAAUUCAUAUAUUAUUAUUAAUUAAUUAAUAAAAUUAAAAUUAUUAAUUAAAUAAAUAAUAUAAUUAUUACUACUAAUUAAUAUAUUAAUAUAUUAUUAAAAAUAAUUAUUAAUAAUUAUAAUUUUUGAAUAAAUAAUCACAAUAAUUAAUAUAUUAUUUUAAUUAAGUAAUUAAUAUUAAUAUUAUUAGUUAAUAUAUUUUUAUAAUAAUUUUUGAUAUAGUUAUUAUAAUUAAUUAAAAUUUUUUACAAUUAAUUAAUAUAUUAGUUAAUAAUAAUUAUGACAAUAAUUCAUUAAGUACUUUUUAGUAAUUUGUUACAAUCUAAUUCAUUCCGAUUCCGAUUUCAAGACAAAGUAAACACAUUAAUGGCAAUCUAGCUCAUUCCGAUUUCGAUUCUUACAGUUCAAGUAAACAACUUAUUUUGAUUCCCAUUACCUAUUCCCAUUCCAGCCCAUUCUCAUUUCUGCCCAUUUCAAUUCCAGCUCAUUCCGAUUCCAGUUUAGUAAACGCAGCAUAAGAGUUAUCAUGAAAAUCAUACAAUUUAAUUUCCUGAAAUAUAUAUUUUAUUCACAUGUGCCAAAAGAAUAAAUAGAUAGAAAGUAAAUUUACAAUCCUCACUCCCUCAUAAUUGUUAAAGUGAAUAUGCAUUACAACUGUGAACUGUCACUACUUUAGCCCUUUAUUUGUUUUUUCAAUUAUAGUGUGAUGGAGACAGUGAACAUUAAGGAUAAAGUGCUCUGCUGAAAGCCAAACUUCCUUUGGCUAAUUAAUUUAGAAGUAAAGCAGAGAAUAAAGUCCUUGAUGCCUUCUGAAAUUAGAAAUACAUUUUAUAUGCUUUAAUUAUGAUUAUUUGGUAGACUAUUGACCAAAAGACAUGUUAAAGUAUAAAACAGAGCGAUUAAAGAAAAAAAAAAGGAGCGUUUGUGACGUAGAAUAACAAUUUGUAAGCAAAGUCCUAAUUUGAGUUGUCAAAAAGCAAACAUAACAGAGAAGGUAAGAGAGAUGCAAAAACAGAAAACUAUUAGCUUAUCUUGAUUUUCCCACUAUAUUCAUUUUCGAUGCUUUUCAAACGAGAUUCUUUUAAUCCUUCUGGCGUCUGCAGCCCCUGCUCUUCUUAUAAAUCUCCUUCCCACAUCUGCACUACGAACAAGUUGACUAAAAUUAAAUAAUGUUGGAGACGAGGGGUGAGCCGUCAACUUAUUAAAAAAAACUCAUGUAUAAUAUUAUCAAUAAUAUAAAAUAUAUAAUAAUUAUUAUAAAGAAUCAUAAAUUAGAAAAAUUAAUUAUUUUACAAUUUAUUUCUUAAGUAAGAUAAAUCUCGUAAUAAGUUAAGUUUAAUGUAAAAAAUAUUUUCAAUUUAUAAUCAUUUAAGAAGUCAUUUAACAAUAAAAUCUUUUUUUUGAUCAGGUGGCCAUGCCAUAGAGUAUCAUCUAUAUUCGUGGUGAUAUUAUUAUUACUCAAUAUCCUCAAAAGACACUAUUUAACAUUUAGAGAAAAUUUCUGCCUUUUAAAAAGAACAUGUAUGCAAUAGCUAGCCACACUUUAUUUUACCACGACAAAAUUGAUAGUGAUUAAAUCAAUUUUCUCAAUUAAAGAAAUUUUUUUUAAAUUGAUUUAAUGCACAAAUAUGAUGAGUUUUUGCAAAAAUUAGUUUUGGAAAAUAUAGUGAGAGAGAAUGGUGACGAUUAUUUUUCAGAUGUGCAAAUAGCCUAAACAUAAUCUCUAAUACCAAUAUCCUUGUGCAUCUUAACACCUUUCAUGAUAUUCUUUCAUUCAUAACCAUUUGUUCAAUAUUUGAAUUUGAUUAUUAAAUUAUGUUCAAUAAUGUUAGAGACCCCAACAAUUGGGUACCAACUUAAAUCCCAAUGCUAUGUGUCAAUGUAACAUAGCAAAAUCCCAUUAACAAAUGUUGUGUCAUUUAUCAUUAUUGAAUGAAUAAUUCGUUAAUUUAUUGAUAAAUGAAAAUUUAUUAAUUUAAAGAGAGAUUUUUUUUUUUGGUUUUAAGAAGAGUUUUGUUGGUACAUGUACAUACUUAUAAAGGAAAAACUUGUAAUUAUACUAUAUCUUUCUUUCUUUGUUCAGUUUGGUGGGAUAUUGUGAUAAAUCAUUGGAUUAAAAUGCAUUUCUAAAUUGAAACUUGUUAAAAUCUAAUUUAUUUGGGAAACGCAUAUUAUUUGUCAGUCGUACUUCUCAACUUAGCAAGUUAUUUCUAACUUGUCGGUCUCUAUUGGUUCUCUUAAAACUAAUAGUCUCGUAUCUCCCGCAUUUGAUAUCUUGCCAUUACUGUUGGCAUUAACAUGUUACCUGAGAUUGGGAUUCAUUAAAAUCCUCAAUGUAAUCGGUGGAACGAAUGGAUUUCUUCUGUUCACCAAUCCACCAAAAUUUCUGUAAUUAAAUUCAAAAGUCAAGAUCUAUGCUUAUAAUCUAUUCAACAGCUAAUAUUCUAUUUUAUAUUUACUUAAAUAUGAAGAGCUAUGCUUGUAGUUAACUUCAAAUGUGAUCGAAGCAGCCUUACAUCUAUAUAUUACUUAUGCCCAACCUUUUUUUUUGACUUCAUAUACAUUCUUUUCAUGUUAUUUACUCUUUUUUCCCCCUCUCUGACAAUUGAGGUAGGGGGUCAAACUUGAAAGUAUCUUAAAAUCAGACAAUAAUUUUUUUUUUUUAAAGAUAGCUACUAAUAUGCUCUAUUAGACAAUGAUAAGUAAUAACCUAGUUGUUUGCAUUAGAAAUGAUAUUUUUUGUGGUGCUGAUAAAGAGGUUGAUUAUGAUUCAACAAUUUAAAAUAUGAAAACAUGUGGAAGACGGCCGCAAUUAAAUUGAUUGUAUGAAAAUAUUUCAAUGAAAUUUUAAAAGUUUAGUACUUGUUAUCUUAUCGAGAGUUUUUUUAAAUUAUAUUACUACUUGAACUUGACUGCUUUUGUAUUGAAUUCCUACCGUUGCCAUUGCUUCUACUCAAAAGCCAUUUAAGUUUGUGUAAGCUACCUAUAGUUUGAACAACAAUUUACUCAUGAAUUGUUGUUCAUAUUAGCAAUUUGAUUGAAAGUGCGGCUGCACUAAUUUUCUAGAUGAAUUUUUUCCUACAUGCUUGUUCUCGUAUGACCCAAAAUCCUACUACAUCAGUUGUAUUAGAAAUUAAUCAACUGGGUUACAAUUAUGCAUCCCCACCAAUAUUUAAGCAAUUUAAUUACAGAAAUAUUUCUUGAGGAAAGAAACUCAUAUCGCCACUAGGCUUGUAAUGAGGCUCAUUUUUAUGAAUCUGGAUGGCAUUAGAUAUCUCUACGAAUAUUGGUGGGAGUAGAUCGCAGAUCUCUGGGCUAUACUACAAAGUUUAUGUACGUUGACUCUCAAUAAAUACAAACGAUUCUCUGAUAUGAUUCAAACAUCAGUGCAUGCAUCAUUUUAAUGAGAAAGAAUAUUCUAAGAACGAAAUUGAAGGUGCAAUCAGCAGCUAAAAUGAAGCCAGAAAUGUACAUGCAUGAGGAAUUUUUCCUAGAAGAUUGAUAUUUCUUUGACUAGCAAACCAUACAAGUCCAAAGCUAGCCAAACCAUACCUGCAAGGUGGGGGUUUAAAUGGAAUACUUCUAAGCAUAAAACAUUGAUUAAAACAGAAUACACACAUACAUACCAGCAAAUUCAAAAUAGCAAGAGGAGUGCAAAAGUUCAAGUUUGUAGACAACAUUGCAACCAUGGCAAGUUUAUAGCAAAUCCUCGAAAUCUGCUAAAUAAAACAAUGCCCUGUCUCAUGAAUCAAUGCUUAAUUAAAAUUGAAACUGAAAGUCUGGCUGACGUUGUUUCCCUCUCCAAUUUUGCCUACAUAAGUGAAAAUAAGAAUAAUAAAUGAAAAUCUGCUUUUACAGUUCUUAUUAGAUAGAUAUAAAUGGAUCUUUCUUUGUUUCUCUGCUGUAUUUUGUGGCUAUCCCACUCUGUUUUGCCAGUCAAGCUGAGUCUAUGUUGAGACAUAAUUUUGACAUCAGAAGCAAUCUCAAUUAGUUUGGCACUUUUAUGACCUCCUUAAAGGUUUUACAAUAAACAUAAAUCUACUGAGAAAGUGGGAAAAAAAAGAAAAUGCAUAUAAAAAUAUGAGUUAUCAGAUAAGAUUAAAACUCACCCAAUUCAAUCCAUCAGAUUCCGUAAGGAUAUAACUGGAUGUCAUACCGCCACUCCAUAUCCUUGAAAGUCCGUAGUGUUUGUCUCAACUCUGUCUGAGGCCAAUGUAAAUUCAAUUUGCGCAAGCUCUUUAUGCACCACAGCUCUUCUGGAAGCUUUCUCAAGUAAGCACAUGGGUUGACGAUUAAGCUUUCAAGUUUCGGCAUUGCUCCAGCCCCCAUCGUCCACUCAUCUAGCCAAUACAUUGAUUUCAGGUGCAAAACCUUAAGUUCGGGAAAGCUACUCAAGCCAACACAAGCAAGCUUUCUUCCUAAAUACGAGUUCUGCUUCAGUUUCAGCACUCGAAGGCGUGGAAGAUUUUCCAGAAUUGGCAUGGGAUCCUCCAUUAGCUCAGUAUUUGAUAAGCUCAGUUGGAUCAGACUUGGGGGAAAUUGGUAUUCAGACAGGACCAUCCGUGAGGGCUUGCUCUCAUUCACCAGCUUCAAGCAUUCAAGUUUGUGGACUUCGCAAAGGCUUUUGGAAACCCCAGAUUGAUAGUAACUCAAAUCUCCAGAUAUCCGAAGAGUCUGAACACUAGGUAGUCUGCCCAAUAUUUCAGGAGUACAACUACUAGGGUUUAAAGCUGAUAUAAAAAUGAGUUUUUUCAGAGAGCUAGAAUAAUUUUUUGGAGGUGCGGGUAGAGUGAUAGAACCAAAGUUUAGAUGUAUGAGUUUUUGCAUCAUCCAAAUAUCCUCUGGUGACUGAUCUAUGUAGCUAGAUGGCAUUUCUAGUGUUUCAAGGUUUAAAAGGGUGCAUAGCAGUGGAGGAAGGCAUUUGAGCGAAGGGAUAUUCAUUUUCAAAUACUUCAAAAGAUAUAAAUUUUCUAAUCCAGGUGGAAAUUGGUCGAGAACUGCAGAACCGAAGUUCAGUACCCGAAGGUGUUUGAACUUUUUACAAAAAUUCUCGCAAUCUAUCACAGCGAGAUGAUCGCCUUCUGAACUUUGAUUGAUAAAAGAUUGGAGAUAGAUCUCACCAUGUUCUAAAGAAAUGAACUCAGUCAGAUGCUCCAAAAUGAUGUACCGUUUAACAUUUGCAAAUGGUUCCGCUUCCCUGUCAGGCAUCCAGAGAAAUUUCGUCUUGUCUGCCAUCAAACCCAAUGAAGUAUAUACAAAACUUGGAACAUAGCAAGCUGUAAUUGUGCCGCCGGCUCUUCUCUUACUCACAUGAAUGAAGCCGCGAUGGAUUAGCUCUUUUAAGUAAUGUUCGGCAGUUUCCUCACCGUUGUAUGGAAUAAAGCCUUCAGCUAUCCACAACUGACAUAAUUGCCUGGUAGAUAUCUCAAUGCCUGGACGGAAGACACACAAAUAAAGGCAGCAGACUUUCAAGUGAAAAGGUAACUCCAACACAGAACAAAUUCGACUCAAGAGUGUCAAAACCACUUUUUCAUCCAUAUAAUUUACUAAUGGGGCACUUCCAUAGUGUAGGAUGAAAAAUUUCCAGGCUUCAUGCUUUAAUCUGAUCAAUGGUCCUCCAACAGGCACUGAAUAAAGCGGAAUGAUCCCUCCAUGCUCCAAUUCAAAAAAGGUAAGGAGGAAUGGAUCAGUGACCAAUAUCAAUACUCUGCUUCCAUUCUGCUUAUCAGGAAGAACUUCUUCAAGAUCAUCCCAUAUGUCACUGUCAUUGAAGACAUCAUCAAGCACAAUAAAGUACUUCUUGUUUGUCAGGUAAUCUCGAAGAAUAGAUUUCUUCAAGUGAUAAUCUUCACCGAUAAUUACCCUAGCCCGAGAUGGAGGCAUUAAAGAAUUGAUUAUGUCAUCCAAUAUCUUGCCAAAAUAGUAGCCUAUAGAAACCCUUACCCAAGCAAGACAGUCAAAAUAGAACUUGACAUGAUUAUUAUUGUAAAUAUCUGCAGCAAAAACAGUCUUAUGGAAGCCAUUGCUGUCGAGAAUUGCAAUCACUGAAAGCCCAGAUGGUCCCUCAAUCAAUAGAUCAAACAACUCCUCUCUGCCCCUUUCAAAUUCACUGACAUCAAGCCAGUGUUGUCCCUUACUCAAUAGGCGAAUGAUUUUGUUACUUUGUUCAGUGAUAUCAAAACCAUUGUCGCUGGGUGGAAGUUGUUGCAUUCGAUCUCUAAUAUCAAUGAUUUUACUGUGGAGUCCAACAAGAAGAGCCAUAUUAGUACUGCUUUCACUUUCGUUUUCACUGUUUUGCUGCUGCAUGAUGUUGAUGAAGAAUGUGUCAAUCGCUUCAUCAGAUUCAUGGACAAAGUGAUUGAUGUCGUCCAGAAUUUCCAAAAUGUCCCGUCUUUUUACGUCUUCAUCAGUGUCUUCUAAGUCUAACAGUUGCAGACAAAGCCAAGCCAUUUCAGCUCCAUUGAGUUGUUCUCUAAUGAUGCGUCGAAUCACACGACGAGUCAUGUCACCUUCAUAGUUCCCGAGCAGAGUAGUAAUAAUUUCAGUCUCCGUAAAAAGGUUUUGAAAAAGCGGGGCUAAGUUUGUUGAAUCAGGCAACGUUAACGUGCCUUCUUCACCUGCUACCACCCUUUUCAACCUCUCACAAAAUAGUCGGAGGUGGACGUCCAGCAUAUCUCCUUCUCUCUGUGGCACCCAGAGGUAUUGUUAUUUGCUCCAAGAAAUGUUAAAAGGAUUGGUCCUAUCUCAAAGAGGUUAGUGGUGUAAAGUUAAACACAAUGGAAGAAUUUGAAAGGAAUAUACCAAGAAACUGUGUAAGUGGCUAAAUUCCACAAAUAUGGCAUUGUUGCUCAUUUUUAACUCAAAAAAAUACACGUUAAUUUAGCGAAAAGUCCAAGACACGUGCUUUUUGAAAAGAACAGGUAUCCCAAUAGGUAUCCAACCUUUAUCUUAAUCAAUUACUACCAUGACAUACUUGAUGGUGCUUAAAUCAAUUUUUCUUUUCUUAAUGUAAAGAUUUUAUUUUUUUAAAACAGAUUUUAAUAUCAAGAAAAAAUAUCACUCGUAUAUCCUUAAAUGACACUUGUAUCAAACGUACUACAACACUUUUAACAUGUAUCACUUGUAUACCUUAAGUUGACAAAUUGUGUCUACCAUCCACCAAACCGUUAGUUGCCGUUUGCAAGCGCUGACAUCAUAAAGGUAAUCUAGUCUUUUCAAAUGGAAGAAACUUUGAUUAAAAAAACGACAUGUCAUCCCAUUUACCUCGUAAAAAAUGACAUAUCAUAUGAUAUAUAUUGACAAAAAAUGACAUGUCAUCCCAUUUAUCGGAAGAUGAUGUCAUCUAUGUGAAACAACGUUGUUUCAACGGGACUAAAAAAAAAAUGAUACUCCACAACCGAAUCGACUCCUCCAAACUUUAACUUGAAUAUUUGAAGAUCUACUCAUCCAAGCUCCAACUGGAAUUUUUUAUGGUAUAAUAUGUUGUUAAUAAUUUUUUAUGGUAUAAUAUGGAUUAUUUUUUAUGGAUAAUUGUUAAUAAUACGUACCAUUAAUAAUUCAUUUUUUAAUAAAAAAUGUAUUGUUAAUAAAAAAUAAAAAAUAUAUUGAAAAUUUACGUUAAUUUUUUGGGCAAAUAUGUAUUUUUACCUUAUUUUGAGUUUCAAGGGCGAAAUAGUCAAUUUGUCAUAAUUCUGUUAACUUUCUAAUGGUAGCUAACAGUUUGGUGGACAGCAGACACAUUUUGUCAACUUAGGGUGUACGAGUAAUACAUGUUAAAAGUGCUGCAAUACGUUUGAUACAAGUGUCAUUUAAAGGUAUAUGAGUGAUACAUGUUAAAAGAGUUGUAGUACAUUUGAUACAAGUGUCAUUUAAGGGGAUAUAAGUGAUAUUUUCCCUAAUAUCAAAUUGCCUUCGAUGUUUUUACAGCUACAAGCUCAGUAACAGGAUUAAUUAAAAAGUUUAGAAUUGUUGGGCGUGCAAAGAGUAGUUUUAAACACCAGAAAGCAAAGGUUGUUAUUGACAUAAUUUUAUUUUUGUUUUCGAGGGAAUUUGUUUUUUUUGUUGACAAGAAAAUAGUAUUAUAUUUUACAAUCUAUUAUACAUAUUUUAUCAUAUUAAAGUAAUUUUAAUAUUAAAUGGAAACAUUAAAUUUAAAUUAAUUAAUUAAAAAUUGAAUUAUUUUGAAUAUUAUGUAAAAAAUUAUUUUAAUAUCAUUAAUAAGGAGAUAUUUUGUUAAUUGUAAAAUAUUUUUAACCCAAAUAUAUAUUAAAUUUUUUAUAAUAAAUACAAAUACAAAUAUAAAAAUAAAAUAAAUAUCAUAGUUUAAAAUUUUAAUGUUAUUUUAAAUAUUAAAAAUAAUUUAAUGCUAUUAGUCUAUUACACAGGUUAUAUUAUAUUUGCAUUAAUUAAAAGUUUUAAAGUCAAUUUUCCAGUUUCUAUAUUCAAAGGUAUAAUGGUUAAAAGAAAGUUCUUGGUGUUUCUUUUUAAAAAUUUGAGGGUCUUAAUGAUAAUUUUUCUAAAUCGUAAGGGUAUAGGUGUCUUUUUUUCCGAUAAUUUAUUUCACGGGUAUCCAAUAAGAAACAUGGUAAGAGAACGUCAAUUACUUAUCAUUUUCUAUUUUUUCUAUGAGUCAUUUAUUUUGAGCAUUAGUGAUCUUAUCUGGACUACUCCAACUAUUGAUGCAACUCCAGUGGCUGCAUCCACAGUUAAAUAUAUGAUAGUGUUAGCUCUUAUUUGAGAAUUUAGAGGGAUCUUUCUUUGUUUCUCUGUUGCAAUGUGCUAGUAUAAAUUUCUUUACCUUAAAAUUUAUAUAGUCUUGCAGUUAAAGAAUUCACUGAGGCAUUGUUGAUUCAAUUUCAGUGAAGCAAUUGUGGGUGAAAGAUAAAUGAAGGAAAAGAGAACAGAGCUGAAGUGCUAAAUUGGCUAUUGAAGAAGGAUGUCACAUGAUCACAAUCACAUUGAUGCACAACUCUCUGGAGGCAAAGUUUGUCUAUAUGUACUCUGAAUUCAGCCAAGCCAUACAUGCAUGAACAAAAAUUAAACCGUAGUUCUAAUCACAACAGUAAUUGAAGCUACAAAAGCCAGCAAAUCUGAACGAAGACUUAAAAGAAAGAUCUUAUUCAAGUUUGUCCCCAAAAGACAGCUGAAAUGAAAAAUAUUGACUGUUGAAUGGGCCAAUGCUGAAUUACAUUUCAAAUGGAAAGCUUGGCAGCAGUUACAAUGUUUCCCCCUCUGAUUUUCCUCCAAAACAAAUUCAGUUGUAAACAAUAACCGAAGUAGUAAUAAUUUAUUCAUCAAAGAAAAUGCCCCCAAGUUUUCAAUUAAAAAAUCCUCUUGUCCAAACUAAAAGAACUCAUAUCUCUAAAAUUUAUUUGCAAAAUGUUGGAAAUGAGGAGUGAUCCGUUAACUCUGUAAAUAAACUCAUGCAUAAUGUUAACAAUAAUGAUAAAUUACAUAAUAAUUAUUAUAGAGAAUCAUAAAUUGGAAACGCUAAUCAUUCUACUAUUAUAUAAGUAAGAUAAAUAUCAUAAUAAGUUAAGUUAUAAUGUAAUAAAUAUUUGCAAUAUAUAAUUAUUUAAGAAGUCAUUUAACAAUAAAAUAUUUUUUUAUCCAGUUGAUCAUAUAGCGUUAUCUAAACUCUUGACAAUAUUAUUAUUACUCACUUUUCUCAAAAAAACAUGAUUAACUUUUAGAGAAAGUCAUGUCUUUGAGAAAGAAUAUGUAUACAAGCUAUCCAUACUUUAUCUUACUGUGACAAAAUUGAUGGUGAUUAAUUGUAUUUUUUAAAAUAGAUUUAACGCACAAAUAAGAUGACUUUUGGCAAAAAUUAUUUUCGGAAGAUAUAGUGAUAGAAAAUAGUGAUGAUAAUUAUUGUUUAAAUGUGUAAAUAGCCUAAGCAUAGCCCGUAAUACCAAUAUUCAUUUGCACCUUGAAAGAAACUUAGUUCUAUAUUGUUUGGCAAGCAAGAAAGUAAAGGAAAAUGAAAGAGAACUCUAAAGAACCUUUUUUAUUAUACUCAGAUAUCUCAACUUAAUGAAUACUGAUUGACAUUUAUACUAAGCUACAAUCUUCACUACACACACGAGUUUGUAACAUCACAUAACCAUUUGCUGCAUAACUAACUUUACACAUCAGCUCAACCAGCUAACUAACUUUGACAGGUCAGCUCAGUGAGUUGAUCUGCUACAACCAGCUACACAGCAACAGCAUGCUCUGCUCCAGCUAUACAGCAACAUCAUGCUCUGUUCCAGCUUUAUCCGCUCUGCUUUGCUCUGCUCCAGCUUUGACAGGUCAGCUCAGUGAGUUGAUCUGCUACAACCAGCUACACAGCAACAACAUGCUCUGCUCCAGCUAUACAGCAACAUCAUGCUCUGCUCCAGCUUUAUCCAAUUCACUAACAUCCCCCCUCAAGCUAAAAUGUUUAGGAUGAACAUUCAGCUUGCUUCUGAAGUAACUGAAUUGUUUGAAAGUAAGAGCCUUAGUUAACACAUCUGCUGUUUGAUCUGGACUAGGCACAUAGCAUACUGCAACCUCUUUAGCAGUGACCUUAUCUCGGAUAAAAUGUAUAUCCAAUUCAACAUGCUUAGUCUUAGCAUGAUAAACUGGAUUAUAAGCUAAAGCAAUUGCUCCUUGAUUAUCACACCACAUUAUAGGAGUGGAGCUUAAUGUGAUACUAAGUUCACCAAGUAAGGAUUUAAUCCAGGUAACCUCUGAAGCAGCAUGGGCAAGAGAUCUAUACUCAGCUUCUGUGCUGGAUCUGGAAACAACAACUUGUUUCUUUGACGACCAGGAAACAAGAUUAGGACCUAGAUAAACAGCAAAGCCAGCCACUGACUUCCUAUCAUCAUGAUCACAAGCCCAAUCAGAAUCUGAAAAACAAUGUAAUUGCAGAGCUCCUUGAUUGUAGAAAUGCAGCCCCAGAUGGAUAGUGCCUUUUAAGUACCUCAAUAACCUUUUACAUGCUUCCCAAUGUUGAGUUCUAGGACUGGAAAGGAACUGACUUAACUUGUUUACAGAGAAGGCAAUGUCAGGUCUGGUAAGAGUAACAUAUUGAAGAGCUCCUAUAACACUUCGAUAUUGAGAAACAUUUUCAAGUGGCUCUCCUGAGUCUUUGGUGAGAUAAAAGCCUGUAGACAUUGGAGUUGGCACAGGACUGCAGUCUGUCAUGCCAUGUUUAUCCAGAAUAUUAGCAAUGUACUUUGCUUGUGUCAAGGAAACCCCUUGUGAAGAUUUGCUGACUUCAAUCCCCAGAAAAUAGUGAAGUUCCCCCAGGUCUUUUAAAGCAAAAGCUUGAUGCAUAUGCUGGAUAACUUGUUGAAUUAUGGAUGGACUGGAACCAGUGAUGAUAAUAUCAUCAACAUAGACCAAAACAACAGUUAGAUGACCACUGUUCCAGGCAUAAAAGAGAGAGUUAUCAGACCUGGAAUGCUGAAAAUGCCACUUGGAGAUCAUUGCAUCCUUAAACCUAUCAAACCAGGCUCUAGGAGCUUGUUUUAAGCCAUACAAAGCCUUAUUUAGCUUGCAGAUAUGAUUAGGUUUAGUUGAAUCAACAAAACCUUGAGGUUGAGCCAUGUACACAUCUUCAAUUAAAAUGCCAUUUAGAAAGGCAUUGUUAACAUCCACCUGCCUUACAACCCAGUGACUCAAUACUGCUAAGCUAAGAAUAACUCUAACAGUGGAGGACUUAACCACUGGACUGAAGGUUUCUGUGUAGUCAAUCCCAUGUGUCUGAUGAAACCCUUUAGCCACAAGCCUGGCUUUAUACCUUGAAACUGAACCAUCUGAGUUAUACUUUACUCGAAAUACCCACUUGUUGCCAACUAUCUUCACUGGAGUAGCAGGUAAGACUAAAUCCCAGGUGUGAUUGGUUUUAAGAGCUAGAUACUCUUCUUGCAUAGCUUUAUACCACAUAGGAUCAGAAAGUGCUUUGGAAACAGAGGUUGGUUCUGACUUCUGAGCUAGUAAAGCUGACAAGUAGAUCUUGGGCUUGAAGAUACCUGCUUUUGACCUGGUUAUCAUUGGAUGACCAGAUGAUGCAGGUUGUGACAAGGUAUGUGGAGGUGAAUGAUGGGAUGGUGAAGAAGGAGAAGAAGAAGUGGAAUUGAAAUUAUCAGAAAAGUAAACUGGAGUAGAAUUUGGGAAGGAAAUAGAAGCAUGUGACUGAGAAUCAUUAAGAAGAUAUUCUGAUGAUGCUGCUAAAGGUGCUUGUAACUGAGUAACAAAAGGAGUAGAAGAAUUAAAAGAAGACUCAGAAUGAGUUGAUGACUGACAGUUUGAAGAAACUGAAGAAAAAUCUGUUCCUGACUCAUAAGGAAAAGAACGUUCAUAAAAGGUUACAUGAUUUGAAAUAUAGACCCUCCCAGAAGAGUGAAGACACUGAUAUCCCUUGUGUUGUGAACUGUAGCCAAUGAAUAUACAUCUAGCUGUUCUGAAAUCAAACUUAUGUCUAUUGUAUGGUCUGAGUGUUGGAUAACAAGCACAGCCGAAAAUUUUAAGUGUUGAAUAAUCUGGUUGGGAAUGAAACAACUUUUGAAAAGGAGAAAUGCUGUUUAGAACUGGAGUUGGAAGUCUGUUUAUCAAGUAGACAGCUGUAUGGAAUGCAUUCCACCAAAAUUUGAGUGGUAAAUGUGCUUGAGCUAAUAAAGUCAGUCCUACAUCAACUAUGUGUCUAUGUUUCCUCUCAAUUUUUCCAUUUUGAUGAUGAAUGUGGGGGCAAGGAUGUCGAAAAUGGAUGCCAGAAGUGGUGAGUAAUGAUGAAAAUGUUCUGAACUCCCCUCCCCAGUCAGUUUGGACAGUUUUGAUGGAAAGUUGAAGAUGCUUCUCAAUGAAUAUUUUGAAAUUGGUAAAAACUUCAAGAGCAUCAGAUUUUGCUGAUAAGGGAAAAAUCCAGGUAAACCUACUGUAAUCAUCUAGGAUUGACAAGUAGUAAUUAUAUCCUUGGGUAGAACAAACAUGAGAAGGGCCCCAAAGAUCUGCAUAUAUCAGUUGUAAAGGUGCUGAAGUUUUUGUUUCUACUGAAUCAAAAUGCAGCAUGUGAUUUUUACCAUAUUGGCAUGCUGAACAAAAUUUCAAACUGUCAACUUUAUUAAAAGCAGUAGAGUUGUUACAAGCUUUGAGAAUGGUUUUGAGAGUAUAAGAUGCUGGGUGUCAUAAUCUUCUAUGAAGAAGAUUUACAUCAAUAGAACCCUUUACAACAACUGACAGACAUGACUUUUUAUUCAACUCAUAAGAGCUAACAGUAGAGAGCUGAGCAGAAUUAAAAACAGGAGAACAAGCAAAAAGAGACUGAAUUUUGUUUUGACCAACUGAACUGAGAAAGACUGAAUGAACAGCAGCAUGAGAAGAGACUUUAUACAAGCUGUUGUGCAAAUUUUAAUGUACUCGCAAGCGCACGAAUCUAUUAUAGUAUAGAUCAAUGGUGACGAGUGUCGAUCCCACGAGGAGGUAGAUUUUAAUUGUGUAUAGAAUUAAUUUUGCAAAUGGUUGAUUGGAUUUGUAGUGGAAAUGAUUAGGAAUAUGCUAAAACUUAAAUUAAAAUGGCGAGAAUAAAUUCUAAAAUUGGAAUUGCAAUGGCGAGAAUAAAUUGAAGAGAAAUGUAUUGAAAUGACGUACUUGGGUAUCUGGAUCCGUAUCAACAUGCAUCAUGGGCUAAAUAAUCCGUAUUAAUGCCAAUUAAAUCAUGAGGGGGGAAUCCACACCUCAUGAACCACGCUCUAAUCAAUAUGGUGCUAAGGGCUUAUCGUGCCAAAUAAUAAUAACCUUAUACUAGAGAGCCGGUGUAACCAAGGCGGUAUCUAGACAAGAUCAGUAUUAUUUGUCGACGAUAAGUCAAAUCAUCCACAAAAACUAGAGGGGAAAAGAAAAUAAAUUUACCAAAUAAAGCCCAUGACACAUGUUGAGACUUCACCUUCAACCCAAGCUUGAAAGGAAAUUAGCUACUCAUAAUUGAACUAGGGGCAAAAUGGGAAUUUAUUAAAAUACAAAGAAAAUACAAGAUGGAGAGGGAAUUACAGAAAAUGGAUCCCAAAAAUGGAUUCAGAGAUAUCAAAUUAGGGGGGGAGGCCCAUUUUUUAUAGAUACAUGGAGUAAAUCAUGGCCAUCGGAUUAAAAACAGUUUGGACGCUCAGGAUUGCGCCACGUCAUCAGUCAACAGUCAACGGUUUGACCACGCGGAUGAACAGUAACAUGGUUUGGUUGAAAAUAAUCCUGUGUGAUGCAUACACCGUACGCGAGAUUUUUCGUCCACUGAUAUGCUGCCACGUCACCAUCAACAGUACAUAAGAAUUUUAGUCCAACAGGAUCGUGACACCUCAUCAGUCAAUGCCACAUCAUCGGUCAAUGCCACGUCAUCGAUCCGUCUAUGUGAACAGUGUCGUGAACAGUAACGUAGACAGUACCGUAUACGUGAAUAGUACCGUACAUGUGAAUAGUGCCAUUUUUCCUUUUAUGCUCCUCCUAAGGUUUUCGACCGUCCUGAGUUCAAAAGUGAUGUCCGUUUUGCCGUCUGAUCUCUCCUUUAUUGUGAAAUGACUAUAAUGCCCCUAAAAUACAUAAAAUACUUAAUUAAAAUAACACACACGUAAUUACAUCACAAGAGGGUUAAAUACAUAAAAGUAAGGGUUGUUAGUAAGACUUGAAACGUAAAAUGACGGUUUUCUCCUUUAUAAAUAUGCAUUUUCUAACACUCAACACAAGCCACCUUUAGCAACACCUUCAAGUAAAAUUUUCCCUGUGUUCCUGGCCUUUAUAAAACACAAAUUACCAAGAAAUUCAACAGUAACUGGAUUGUCAGCCAACAAUUUUGAGAUGCUAAGCAAAUUCUUAGUAAUAAAAGGGACAUGAAGAACAUGGUUAAGAAAUAAGGAUUGAGAAGCUGAAGUAUUUAGCACAACUGACCCUACAUGUGUAAUAGCUAAUGCAUUUCCAUCUCCAACAAAUAACCUUUCAGUACCAGUGUAAACUUUUGAAUCCAGAAGCUUACCUAGAUCAUUGGUAAUAUGAUUUGUUGCUCCACUAUCAAUAUACCAGGAAGGAUCUUCAAUGUGUUCAGGUGGGAGUGAAGAAGACAUAGCAGAGGAGGAGGAAGCACUUGACUGUUCCAGAUUAUUAUGUCCUAGACAGAAACAAAAUUAGAUGAUCCAGGGUUGAAUGAGAAAUAAGCAGAUGGGUUGCUUUCUGGAUAUACUAUAUUUCCUUGAUAGCCAAAACCCCUGGGGGCAUUACCAAAACCAACAUUUUGUCCAAAACCAGCAUUUGAACCAAAACCUCCAAAACCUCUUCCACUAUUACCAUUAAAGGCUCUUCCUCGACCAUAUUGCCCUUGAUUAAAACCUCUGCCACCAUUCAUAUUACCUCUACCAUGGUUCCUCUGUGGAACAAAAGAUGAGUUGUACCUAUUUCUGCAUUUAUAGGCUGCAUGACCAGGUAUGAAGCAAAUUUGGCAAACAACUUCAGAGAAAUUACUAUUAUUAUUAAACUGACCAUAUCCAUAUCCAGAAUUAUUACCACCUCCAGAGUUAUUUCCAUACUGUUUCUGAAAAUUUCCAUUAUUCUUUCCAGCAUAUGAGUUCUUCUGAACAAUAUUUGCUGUCAUGUUAUGCAUCACAUCACCAGCAAUUUUUCCUUUCUUUUGCUCAACUCUAUUUUCAUGAUUCAACAGCAAAGAAUAUAGUUCAUCUAAUGUUAUCUUUUCACCUCGAGCUAACACAGCAGUGACUAAAGAUUCAUAAUCUGAUGAAUCAAGACCAGUUAAUACAUGCAUCACAAGAUCAUUUAACUCAACAGGUUUUCCAGCUAGAGCUAAAGUAUCAGCUAUACGUUUUACUUUUACAAAGUAAUCAGACAUAUGCAUUGCACCUUUCUUAAUAGUUUGAAUCUGCAUUCUAAGUGUUUGAAUUCUAGCUUGUGAUUGAGAGAUAAACAUACUAGCAAGAGUCUCCCAAAGCUGUUUUGAGGUUGUUGAGUCAAUCACAGUAGCAAGCAGAUUUUGUUGUAUCAAUGACAUCAUCCAACUCAGCAGAAGUUGAUCAGCCUUCAUCCAAGCUACGAACUCUGGAUUAACAGAUCUGGAUCCAGAUUCAGUAACAGAUCUGGAUCCAGAUUCAAUUAAGAUUUCAGCUCCAUUGUUGUUGCCAGAAGAAAGAAACUGCUCAGGACAUUCUCGAUCACCAUUGAUAAAACCUUCCAAACCAUUUCCUUUGAUCGAAGCUAGAAUUUGUGUGCGCCACAAAAUAUAGUUGUUUUGAUCUAGCUUUACAGGCGUAACAAAACUAAAAGAGUUGUUGUUUUGAACUGUAUUUGCCAUUUAUGGCUCUGAUACCAUGAAAGAAACUUAGUUCUAUAUUGUUUGGCAAGCAAGAAAGUAAAGGAAAAUGAAAGAGAACUCUAAAGAACCUUUUUUAUUAUACUCAGAUAUCUCAACUUAAUGAAUAUUGAUUGACAUUUAUACUAAGCUACAAUCUUCACUACACACACGAGUUUGUUACAUCACAUAACCAUUUGCUGCAUAACUAACUUUACACAUCAGCUCAACCAGCUAACUAACUUUGAUAGGUCAGCUCAGUGAGUUGAUCUGCUACAACCAGCUACACAGCAACAGCAUGCUCUGCUCCAGCUAUACAGCAACAUCAUGCUCUGCUCCAGCUUUAUCCGCUCUGCUCUGCUCUGCUCCAGCUUUGACAGGUCAGCUCAGUGAGUUGAUCUGCUACAACCAGCUACACAGCAACAGCAUGCUCUGCUCCAGCUAUACAGCAACAUCAUGCUCUGCUCCGGCUUUAUCCAAUUCACUAACACACCUUCAUUUGUGUUAUCACAUUUCAUGAUAUUCUUUCAUUUAUGACCAUUGUUCAAGAUUUUAAUUUGAUUAUAAACUAAGUUGCAAGGGAGCUUACUUCAGUUUCUAAGCUUUUCAAUCGUGAUUCCUGCAUGCCAAACGUAACUGACCUUAUAAUUGGUCUGUAUAAGAAAUCAAGCCCUUUCAGGAUCGUUUUCUUUUUCUCCCUAUUGUAGUAGUCAACUAAAUAAAGAAUGAACAACUAAACUUGGUCUAUUUCGAGGAAGACUAAGGCUUCCAAUACUAGAUGAACUUUGAAGAAAAUUAAUCCGUUGUUUUUAUUCAUCUUUGGACUAUGAAUUUAUACAAAGACUUUAACAGAAAAUAACAAAGACACAGCUAAAUGAUAGCAAUAAGUGCUGACUUGGUGGACCACUUCUGCAAGUAAAUAAAAACUAAAUAUUUAUUUUGACUAUAACAACAACUACGCUGAUGAAUAGGAUUUCACAGCAGCCACGUGACAACUAAUUUCUCCUUAAUAUUAUUAUUAGUAGAAGUAGAUUUUAAAACUAGUCUUGAUAUAUUUCAAAGUUGUAUUAUCAAUGUAUAUGUGUCUAGAUUGUAACUAUAUUUUAAAAAAUAUAAAAUUUUUAAUUAUUGCACAGUAUAUGUAGCAAAAUAUCUAUAGAAUGAUAUUAUUAGGACUAAGAUUUUUUUUUAUUUUAGAUAAGUUAUUUAUUUAUUAUCGAAUGAAUAAUUUAUUAAUUUACUGAUAAAUGAAUAUUUAUUAAUUUAAAGAGAGAUUUUUUUGGUUUUAACAAGAGUUUGUUUGGUAAAUGUACACACUUAUAAAGAAACAUAAAAAGUGGUUCCUCAAGUCAAUAGUAUUUGCUUCAAUCGCAAUGGUUCAUAAUAAUAUAGCAUAGUUAGGAAAUUUGUAAUUAUAUUAUGGCUCUGUUUGGUAGUAAAACUCAUUUAAGUAGAGUUGUUGUUAAUAGAGCUUUUAUAAAUAAAGCUUUUACUAAAAAAAAUUUAGUUGUUUGCUUGUCAAUGUCCAAAUUGAUAAACUUUUGUUCUUUUGUUAAGAUAUGUUUGUUUUACUUAAUAAUAGCAUCGGCAAGAGUUUUCGAUUGUUGCAACUUGCAAUGCACGCGGUGAGAGAAAAUGAGAAUCUUGUUUAAUUGUCAAUAUAUAAUGACAAACCUAAUCCUUUCAUUAGGAGUAAUUUAAUAAUCGUUUGUUAUAACUGAAUAUGUAUAAAGAAAGGAAAAUUCUAUUCAUAAAUUUCGACUUAUUUUUUGUUUAAAGUAAUUAAUCAUUCAACCAUCUUCAUUUGCCUCUGGCCAAUGCCCUUGUAGAUUAGUUUACUUAAUUAUGAUUAUAUACAUUUUCAUAUAGCAAGUGGCAUUGUAGAUCUAAACUAAGUUGCUAUUUCAAUACCAGCAAAUUCAAAAUAGAAAAGGAGUGCAACUAUUCAACUUUGUAGACAAUAUUGCAACCAUGGCAUAUUUAUAGCAAAUCAUUGAAAUCUGCUAAAGAAAACAAUGCCCUGUCUCAUGAAUCGAUGCUCAAUUAAAAUUUAAAUUGAAAGUCCGGCUGGUGUUGUUUUCCUCUCCAGCGAAAUAAGAAUCAUAAGUGAAAAUAGGCUUUGACAGGUCUUAUUUCUUUGUUUCUCUGCUGCAAUGUGUGGUUAUCCCACUCUGUUUUGCCACUCAAGCUGAGUCUACGUUGAGACAUUAUUUCAGUAUUGAGGUAACAAUAAUUUCGGACUCCGUAAGAAGGUUUUGAAAAAGUGGAGUCACAUUUGUUGAAUCAGGCAACGUCAACG